rnacentral:lncRNA from 1 species
UUUAUUUUUUAUAGACUGGUGCAUUAUAAUCAAAAGGUCAAAUAAACAAUAUAAAUAAAUCUUCUAUAUUCGGCCCCGACAUGUAAGCAUACAGACGUAGUGUUUUUGUUUUUUUUUUUUUUUUAGGGUAAACUGUUAAUUUAUUUUUUAAAUUAUCAUUUGAGUAAAAAUUAAGUCUUUAAAUUACUUUUUAUGUAAAAUAAAUUCUUAUAAAAACUGCUAAUUUCAUCUCUAAUAUUACAUUAAAAGCUAUUUUAUCCAAUUUUCAUCAACUUAAGUCACAUGACACAUUUAAGAGGGUAAUGCUGUCAUUUUUUUGCCUAGGCCUUAACGCUGUAUAUAGAUAGCGAGUUUGACUUCUAAUUUAUCAUCCAAAAUUAAUUUCAUACACUAUUUCUUCAAAAAAAAAAAUGACCUUAAACUAUGAAAAACUAUCAAUCUACCAUAUAAAUUGUAUCACAUGCAAAUCACAUGACUUAAAUUGACGAAAAAUUGAAUAGAAUAGCUUCGAAUCUAAUAUUAGAAAGUAAUUGGCAACCUUUAUUAGUUUAAGAACCGAUUUUUCAGAAAAAAAUAGUUUAGAGACCUAAUUUUCAUUCAAGUAAUAAUUUAGGGACUAAAAUCGGCAUCUUACCUUUUUUUUCUAAUUAUUAUUAUUAUUAUAGGAUGAAGGAGGGUUCAAAAUUAUUACAAUAAUUUGGAUAGAGAGUUUUGCACCUCUAACGCAUGGGUAUAAAACCACGUAUCGUAUCCAAUAGGAUAUUGGACUACAUGAAGCAUACAAAUAUGGUCUGAUCAUUUGUUUCGGUAUUAUGAAAGAUUGAAAGUUUGAACUUGAGCAUCUCAAAUGCAAGAUUAAUAUUUUUACACAUGUAUUCAUGUAUUGACAUCUACAAAAAUUACAUGUGUUAUGUUCUCUAUCUUGGACUUAAUUUUCGUAUUGAAACACAAAUUGAAGUACUAUUUUGGCUGGAAACUGGAUUAUGAGUUUAGCUAAGAUGUUUGGAGAUGUUUUCCCUUAUAUUUUGACGCAAAUGAGCACCAAGAACAAUUAUAAGUUAUUUUUUUCAUUUGCAAGUUUUUGUCUCGUCCGCACUUUUUUUAUCUCUUCCUCAUCUCUCUCACCGUUCUUCAUCUCUAUUAUCCUUCAUUGAUUCUCUCUCUAUUUAUAUAUAAAAAAGGAUAAUUUUCUAUAAAUAAAAACGGAAGCGUUUUCCAAACCAAUAAUUUUCUAUAUAUUUCUACUUUCGGUCAUCCAUUCCAUCUUAAGCUAUUAUAGCAUUGUCUCUUCUCUUGCCGUCCAUUCUGUUAUUAUCUUUCUCCUCUGCAUCACAUUUAGCUAAUAAAAAAAUUGAAGUCUUAGGUUUAAUCAAGUUAGUUAUCAUAUCGAUUUUAAAAUUUUUAUCUAAAAAUAAAUUCAAACCCUAAAAUGUCUAAGGUGAUAAACUAAUAAUUUCCACUUAGUUUUUGGGAUAAAAAUCAGUCGAAAUAACUAAGAAGUAUACGAGGGUUUGAAAUAUGCUGUGAUUACUAUGUUUCUGCAUGCUCUUAUAGCAGAAGGAGAAGAAACACAAACAAAAGCAGGUUCCAUUUUCAUGUUACGUAGAACUAAACGCUACGAGUAUUGAAGAUCUGAAUUCAUCAGACCAUAAUAAAAGCAAUAUUUAAAUCAAUCUAGACAUCAAAAGGGAUAUUUAAAUCAACCUAGACAUCAAAAGGGUUCUACUUCGAUCCUACGUAACAGUGAAGAUUUUUCCAACAAGAACCUUAGUAUUGUGAGCCUUUUUAUUAAUGGUCAUUACUAGUUGUCACCUAUCCUAUGUGCAAUUACUACGACCAUAAACAAAAAAGAGAAAUUCUUAAUUUUACUGCGCAUCUGCAUCUGCAACUGCAACAUCGAUCACUAUGAGCAAUUAAUUUCUUUUGACUGUGUUGAAUGUUGAUGACCUGCACACCUGGGUCGCCUACAGAAGCCAGUAGCAUAUAUGUAUAUAUAUUUGCUGUUUAAAAUUACAAUUGGCUCUGUAAUUUUAGCAAUUUUCUACUUUAGGUUUGUGAUUUGUUAGCGGAAAUUCUAUAAUAAUGCAGUUGUAUAUUGGAUCACUAGAUUUGCAUGGGUGGAUUUUGUUAGUUUUAAUCUUUUGCCGUAAAUCGUAUACACCAUUAUUUUGUAGAAAAAUUUAGUUACACAUUAGGUUUUAAUUGUAGUUUGAUAUGACUUCAUUUCGAAGUAUCGAAGCAAAUCAAUUUUGUUUUAUUUUUGCUGGCUUUAGGGUAUAUUUUCAAAAUUUCAACAUGUUUGAUGGACGUUACUUGUCAAUCUUUUUAAUUUAUAUGAAUGGUCAAAUGAUUCGUGAUAAAAAAAAAUUAAAAAAAAAAGAAUGGUUAAAUGAUUCAAAUCAAAUAUUUUUUUUUAGAGAUGUUGUUAAGAUGAAGAGAAUGCCCAUUUGGCAUAUGAUCUUUGUAUAAAUCAAAUAAUGUCAUGUGGUUGUAUAAAGAGCUAACUAAUAUACUAUAGUAAUUUGCAAGUAUGGAUUCUGUCCUCACUGUAAUUAUGGGUUUUAUAAUUUGCAAUUUCAUUAUAAAUGUAGAUCUUCAAACUCUAAUUAUCUUUUUAUGUACGUAAAAAUGAAUCUUUGAUAUCAUGACAACCAUCUCUUGGUUGGAGGAUUCUUUAGUUUCGACUCACACGAAUACGAUAGCAAUUAUUUAUAUUACGUUCGAUACUUAGAGAAAACUGCGAAUGAUCCAUUCGCACAACUUUGUUUCGGAUGAAUUACAUUAUUGUAAAUAUACUCUUGUAAGUAUCAUAUUGUUUGUCAAUCAAAUAACACUCUAAACAUCUUUUUCUGAUAAGGAUUUAUUUUUAUUUUUCCGGACAAUCUUUUAUUUACUUUGUAUGAAACCUAAUUAAGUUGCUUGGUUUCAUUCAAGCAUCAUAGACCAUGUAGGUACGUAAGCAUACCAUCAUCACCAUUAUUAAACUCAUAUCUAUAUUAUAAUGAUAUCAAAUUAAAUGAAUUUUAACAAAUAUCAAUUAUUAAUCUAAUAAAUUAAUUUGUCACCUCACACAAGGUACUUAGAAUUUCUUAACAAGCCAGUGAAAUAUUCCAGCUACCUAGCUACUUAAUUAAUUGGUUGAUGAUGAUGAUAGCAACUAAUCAUAUACAUUAGCAUUAUUGCUAACAAAUAUUCUCAUCUGAGCUGUUCAAAUCAUCCACAAAUCUAGGACAUGACUGAUGCAUGGCCUAGCUUCCAAGAACUAAGAAGAUUAACGAGAAGUCUAAUGAGCUAUUUAUAUACAGACAUUAAAAAAUUAAACCACGUACAGUUUCCAUCCUUCAUUUCCGAAAAAGUCUAUUCCUUCUCUAAUAUGAAUAAUAAUACUAAAAAAAAUAAGAAAAUGCAGGGUUGGUACCUACUAAUCUAAUUAGAUGUUUUAAAGGCUUAAAUCGUUUGAGGAAAAUUCACCGAACCCAUACUAAGGUUUAAUAGCCUUCUUCUUCAACUGUAAGUGGUGAGGAGGUUUAGUUUUGACUCUCAUAGAUGUCGGGAUCGAUAUCAAUUUAUUGGUUGACACAUUUUGUAACUUAGUUCAAAUCUUCAAACCCUUAACUCGUGUAACUGUUGUUUACACAAAUAUAAAGUAUUUAUAUAUAGUUUCUGCUAAGGAUCAUGCAUGCCUCAUUUUCUAGUUGUAUGUGCGCCCAUCCAUGAAGAAAUAGUCAUAGAGAGGACCGGUGUGGUGCUAGAUGAAUUUAUGCUUCGUGCAUCCCAUGUGUUCUACUUUAAUCUAUAUGUGGGGGCUUGGUAGUUGGUAGUACAAUAUAUAGGUUCCAGCUAACCUCUUAGAUUGAGAGAUGAUAAAUAAAGAAGAUGAAGAUAUAGCGCAAGAUUUUGUUGGUAAGUUGUUGCUUUUCUUUCUGUUAUUUCGAAAGUAGCUCUAUCAACUUCAAACAAACUAAUAUAAGCACUACCUAACCUUUGAAUAUUAUUUUAAUCACUAACUUAGUUUUGGAACAUAAUAUUAAUUGUUCUUUGUUCUUUAUGCAGAGACAAAUAAUCCCCAAGAUUAGGAAUAGCUUCUUCUUAUUUCUUUUUAUUUUUGUUAUUUAUUCUUCUUCAUUCUCCUCCUCUAAACCACAGUCAUAUGUGUUAUUUCUUCUUAUUCUCUCCUCAUGUAUUUUAUUUUUAACUCUUAUAAUCAACAUAUUACCUACCCAUAUGACAUAUUCUUUUUUUAUAAUCAACGUGUAUCCCAUAUUAAUUGUACUGCUUGUAGGUUUAUUAUGUUUUUGUACCUUUUAGUUAUGUUUCAUAUUUGACAACCCGUCCCUAGUUCUACGAUUUUAUAAAUUUUAAAAUAAUGAAUUUACGAAAAUGCCCUAGAGGUGAAUGUUUUGACUUUCAUUGACCAACGUGUAGAGAAACGUAUGACUUAUUCACUUAGCGCAUUUGUGUAGUACUCGUUGGUACGAACACAUAGGCGAAAGCCGUUUGCGAGUCCGGAUUAUAUUGAUAUAGUUACAGACAUUUGAAAUUGGUUAUUUAAAGUUUAGUUAUAAAUUAAUCCAAACUCCUACCAUGUGGGAGUGGUAGUAACCAAUCAAUUUUAAGAGCGGAAAAGGAGAACCAAUUAGGAAGGGAGGAGGAAAAAAUAAAAAAAAAAGAAGAAACCUUCCCGUCGAGCAGUACACCCGCACACCCAAACCGGUCAAAAUUCGGCCAAUUUCUGCCAUUUUAUUUCGUGGAACACCAUAUCCACCACCUGCAACAUCUUCCCCAAUCUUUCUUCUUCCAUCUUCGCUCAAGAUUGAAGAGUUUUAGGCCAAAAAACGCGAAGAACAUCAUCGGAGCAUCGAAGGUGUUCGACAGUGAUUCCUCCGAUCCAGCGAGUUUCACCACCACCACCACCCUUAAUCAACUCCUCUUGGACCCAGGAACAAGACCCAAGCAGUUGUAGGGGUGUUGGAACAUCGAGGAAGUCGAAUCGAAGAACACCCAUCUUAGGGUUUCUGGCGGGUUUGAGUGAAAUUGGAGCCUUUCCCGGCUAAAUUGGACUUAGCUACAGGUAUAAAACUUGUUCUACUCAUCGAGAUCUUCAUUUCUAUAAAAUUUGGUAAAUUUUAGAAAUAGUUAGAUUUUCCGUCGAGUCGGGGCGGCCGACCGCCACCCAUGGCGGCGAGUGGCCAGAGGGCCGUCGAUGUCAUUCUUAGGCUAAAUUAGAUGCCUUGAGUUCAUUCUUGGUAACUGUACGACUUAGGUUGAUGGUUGGAACCUAAAUUCUGUACGUCACGUUAUUUGGUAAAAGUGUGAAUUGAAGAUCUGACCAUUGGAUCGUCACCAAACUUUAAUAUAUUAUAGUACGUAAUAUUUGAGGACCAUAGAAACUUCCGAAUCAAGAAUUUGACGUACGGAUCUUCCCGAAUUGGAUUUGUAAGUUCAUAAAAUAAAAUGUUGACAGUCACUUGGUUUUGACAAUUGGCGGAGAUCCGACCGUUGGAUCAUAAUGAAAUAUUAGGACGUGGUUCUAGGAACAUAAUGUGAAUCUUUGGAAGUAACGGAUUGGAAAUCUGUGAUGCAGAUCUUCCAAAGUGAAUUACGUAGGGAUGGUUUGUUUCCUUUAAAUUAUGUAUUAUAUCGGAAAGAACUCUGAGACGUGAUUUGAUAAUUGUUCUAGGCGACAUUGGUUCGUGAUGUCUCGAUAUGCGUGCUAGGAAGUCGUAGUGCGGACCUCAGGUGAGUGGGUAUUUUCCUUUCUAUCGUGUAUAUUAUAUAUAUGAUUGAUAAUUCACAAACAUUUUAAAAUUGAUUUAUGCAUAUUACGUACCUACAUAUAAUUACUGUGAAUGCUUUGAAGUACUACUGUGAAAUACGAAUGGCUUGAUCCCUGUUUAGGGUACGUAAGCAGUCUAACAAGUGUUAGAUGCAGCCAUACAAUAAAUGAGACUAAAUAAUUGAGACAAUAGCCUUGUUUGGGAAAUUGAGCAAUGUGAAGGAGAUUGGUGGAAAAUGUGAGAUUUAACCUUAUGAUUUGGUGGUUAAAUGUUGUUCAUAAAUCAAUGUGUGAAGAAUUAAGAAAUUGAAGCAAGGAAACGUAAGUAAUGAUAGUUAAUUAAACUAGUGUCUAAUUGGGCUUAUCACCGAUAAUUAUUCCCGAAAAUAUAUAGUUCGGGAGUAGGGCGUUACAGCUUAUGCAUUUUAUGCCAUUAUAUAUAUAUAUAUAUAUAUAUAUAUAUAUGUAUAUAAUUGAAAAUGCAAUGACAUGGUUGAGUAUUAGAUUUGUAACAUUCCACAUCGCGCAGGGGAGUGAUCCUUAAAUGUAUAUUCCCAUCCCUACCUAGCACGAGGCCUUUUGGGAGCUCACUGGCUUCGGGUUCUGUCGGAACUCCGAAGUUAAGCGAGAAGGUGGCCAGAGCACUCCCAUGAUGGAUGACCCACUAGGAAGUUGCUCGUGAGUUCCUAGAAACAAAACCGUGAGGGUGUGGUCGGGGCCCAAAGCGGACAAUAUCGUGUUACUGUGGUAGAGUGGGCCCAGGAUGUGGUGGAACCCGGGCCGGGAUGUGACAAAUGGUAUCAGAGCCAAUCCCUGGCCGGAAGUGUGCCGAUGAGGACGUCGGGCCCCUAAGAGAGGUGGAUUGUAACAUCCCACAUCGCCCAGGGGAGUGAUCCUUAAAUGUAUAUUCUCAUCCCUACCUAGCACGAGGCCUUUUGGGAGCUCACUGGCUUCAGGUUCCGUCGGAACUCCGAAGUUAAGCGAAAAGGUGGCCAGAGCACUCUCAUGAUGGGUAACCUACUGGGAAGUUGCUUGUGAGUUCCCAGAAACAAAACCGUAAGGGCGUGGUCGGGGCCCAAAGCGGACAAUAUCAUGCUACGGUGGUGGAACGGGCCUGGGAUGUGGUGGAACCCGGGCCGAGAUGUGACAAGAUUGCAUCAUGAUAUAUCCAUAUGUAUAUUACUUGCACAUAAUUAUUGUGAACGCUUUGAAGUGCAAAGGUGAACGCCGAAGACCCAGGUAAGUUCAGGUGAGUUUAUGGUAUUAGUUGAAAUGAUGAAGUUAUUGCAUGACUACAUGUAUAUUUUAGGCAACUUCGACCUUGUCGUAUAUGUUGUAAUGAUAGGCAACUCCGACACUAUCGUACAGGUUUUCCAUGAGUCGUACAUGUUAUAAUAGAUGCAAUUAGAACUCAUAAACAUGCACCUCGGUGAGUUCCUAGAAACAAAACCGUAAGGGCGUGGUCGGGGCCCAAAGCGGACAAUAUCAUGCUACGGUGGUGGAACGGGCCUGGGAUGUGGUGGAACCCGGGCCGGGAUGUGACAAGAUUGCAUCAUGAUAUAUCCAUAUGUAUAUUACUUGCACAUAAUUAUUGUGAACGCUUUGAAGUGCAAAGGUGAACGCCGAAGACCCAGGUAAGUUCAGGUGAGUUUAUGGUAUUAGUUGAAAUGAUGAAGUUAUUGCAUGACUACAUGUAUAUUUUAGGCAACUUCGACCUUGUCGUAUAUGUUGUAAUGAUAGGCAACUCCGACACUAUCGUACAGGUUUUCCAUGAGUCGUACAUGUUAUAAUAGAUGCAAUUAGAACUCAUAAACAUGCACCUCGGUGUUAGUGCUCCCGCCCGUGGCCAGGGCACAGUCCUUCACGUGAUGUUCACCUCGCGCAUCUUACGCUCACCUUGGAUCCAAGGUAGGUGCACAAUGCUGUUGUAUAGACCACUAUAGGUGGUUUCGACUCGUAUGUGACCCACGAUUAUUCGCACAGUCUUCAUGUGAUCGUAGCACUUGAGCGUACUUAUUUACACCCAGUCCUGUCGUACAUACCACUAGAGGUGGUUCCGACUCUUGUGCAGGGAUAUAUGAUGAGCUAUGGGUUCAGCCGUACAAGCCACAAUAGGUUGAUUCGGCUGACAUAUUACUUGGAUAUUUGAUGAGCUAUGGGUACGGGCUAUGGGUUCAGCCGUACAUGCCACAAGAGGUGGAUCUGACUGACAUAUUACUUGGAUAUGUGAUGAGCUAUGAGUUUAGCCGUACAUGCCACAAAAGGUGGAUCCGACUGACAUAUUAUUUGGAUAUUGGUUGAGUUAUAGGUUCAGUCGUACAGGCCACAACAGGUGGAUCCAGCUGACAUAUUACUUUUCAUGGAUUUAUUUCACUUGGUUUACUUAUUUCAUUAUGUUGAGAUUUUGGGCAUGGCAUACGUGUGGAUUUUUCUAUUCCGAGUAUGGUUUAGAUAUAGAUAUGUAUUCUAUUUUCUGGGAAAUUAUUCAUGUUUUACGGCGAGGGAUUAUUACUUUUGAUAAGUGAAAUGGUUUUGUAAAACUUUGUUUUUACCCACUCACACUUUCUGUUUUGCGCCUCUCCAGGUUUUAAUUGUUGAAUGUUCGUAUCGACGAGGAUUCUUGGCAAAUCUCAGGAUAUGUGACUACUUCUGAGGGUAUAAUCCUUAUCCACUCUACUAUACUUACUUAUGCUCUAACGUCAUGUGUGAAGUGGGUUCAUUCCCGCUCACCAAGGCACUCUGGUAUUUAGGCACUCUUAGGUUCAAAUUUAUUCAUAUUUUUCCACAUCAUCACACUUUAUGGCUUUGUCACCUUCCAGGUGUCGGCCAGCAUAGCUCGAUUCGGAGUCUUUGUGGAUAUUAUUGGUCGGGGUGUGUCAGUUUGGUAUCAGAGCAUAAGUUGGGCAAUAUUGCGUUCAUCACACGCGUGAUGUGAGCAUUUUUUAUUCUUGAACCUAAUUUCCAAAUCUUGCCACCUCGUCGAAUACGAAAAAUGUGUUAGUUUUUCCUAAGUUUUGGGCAGUUUUGUCGACUUGUCGAUGUUUUAGAAGAUCAUUUUGGUGAACGCCUCUAAAUUAUAAGGGAAGAAUUUCCCUGCUAAGGAAGGAUGUAGAUUUGGGGAUAAGUUGAUGGCCUUGAAGCAAGACUACUAUAUUGAUAAUUGUGUAUCCUAGGGGGAGAAUUUCCUAUCAAUUCCACUACUAUCUAGUCAUUUCUUCCAAUCUUUUCGAGUUAUGAAACCAUUGAUAGUUUUGAUUCCUUGGCAGUACCCGUUAAUGUUUCACUUACCAGAAUCUUUACGAAGUUUUAGUUUUUGUCGAAAUUUUCAAAAAUGUCUCGAGUGACAAUGUAGGGCUAUAGGGGUAGCACUCGACGAAAGAACAUCUUGGGAUAAUCACCUUAGUCUCUGAUAACACAAAUUUUUCCAAACACGCAGGUGAUCAUUUUGGAUCUUCAAGGGGAAGAUCGACUUUUGUUUUAAGUCCGUUCUAAAGUAGAUGAAUAGAAAAUUUUAUUUUUCUGACUUUAGAACACUCCAACCAAUAUUAAAUUCCACAUUACUUUUGGUGCUAUACAUUUUGACGAGCAUUGGCACAUGAGUAAGAAUCGUUAUAUCUAAGGUUAGUAGAAAUUCCCGAAGUGGUAAGUUUUUUUUUUCCUUGGAAUUAUGGAAUCAAUUCCUAGUACAUUUGGAGGAGGUUUACCUUUGGCAUCAAUUCUCAAAUUUUUAUUUGGGAUUCUACCAAAUGCGAGAAGUAGAAUACACUAUUGAUCCACCUUGUUAACAUCACAUUUAUUCUCCCUAUUUCUUAUCAACCAACCUUUGUAACUCGAGUUUCCUUGUGUAGUUUGAUAAAUUCAUAAUAGUCUUGUAGAUGACUAUUUUACAUAUUCCAUUAACGAGAUUAAAUUCUCCAAUUAUCAACAGUUAGCUUCACAUAAAAUUCCUCAAAUAUUACCUUUGUGUAAAUUGGUACUUCUCUUAGGAGAUGUGAUUUUCAAUGAUAUUCUUUUCUUUUCUCCAAAGGUAGUAGCGGAAGAAAGUUGGAAUUCUCACAAGGUAUUGUGAAUUUCAAGAUGUCUUUGGUCUUGUUGAUUUUAUCGACAAAUUGUUAGCAAUUUCUCAGAUACCAACCAAGGAAGGUCAAUUUAAUUGAGAUGUUGAAUAUGAAUAAAGUUUCUAACAAAGAAUUGUUGUCUCACCUUACAUUUUCUUUACAUAUUUCGAUGAAAUUGAUCAUUUAGAAAUCCAUGAUGACGUGUUCUUUAGAUAUUUUAAUUGUGGGGGAGGUAACAUGACGAUGAAUCGUUUAGACUUUCCAACGGUUAAAAUCGUUCGAAAUGAACCAUCUUAUUCAUGACUAGAGUAAAGUGUUAUUAUCUUUAUUUGAAAAACCGAAUGAUACUUCCUGGUGGAGAAACAUGUUAGAGACCUUUAUCAAUCUUGGACUUUUCAAAUAUAUUCUCAUUUGAAAUAGGUUAAAUUCUGACAGCAGUAGUGGAAGAACUAAAUCAACUUUUAUGAUUAUCACGAUUGUGCAAAUGUAUUACUAUUUAAUGCAGCAAAAGGUUUAUGUAUACUUGAACACUUUCGGCCUAUCCUAUUCCGCCUCAGUUGGAAUACACAAGUAUUGUUUUGACGUUACUUGCGAAACAUCAAGAAAGGGUUUGAAUGGUCAUAAUCACUUCUUGUAUAUGGAGUUGAGAAAUAUCAUCAUACACCUUUGGAACGAGGUAUCUUGUACAUGUAGUGAUGAUGAUGAUGAUGUUUCGAUGUUUAUAGAUCGACUUGACAAGUCAACCCUUUUUUUUUCAUUGGUCCAAAGGGACUACAUUGUUGACCACUUGGUAUUAUUUUUGAAUUAAGCAAAUUGUCUAGAGGAUUGUUAGGACAUUGACAUUUAGUCGUGAACAUUAAAUUCUCAAUCACCCAACAAACACUAUACUAAACGAAUCUUAACCGUUGGUGAUUGAAUGUUCUAGAAGCUACCGUUGUAGCGAUAUGUUAUACAUUAAUUUCAAUUACCUUGUAUUUAAAAUUUGAUGGACUUAUUUGACCCUCAAAUUCUCGAGUAUUAUGUUAGCCUUCUUGACAUAAUUUUCACUAAAUUCAAGAGAAAUUCAAUAGGAAUCUCCUCAUUAUGGUGUUAUGAAUUGCAUUAUUGAGUUAUGUGGUGUGUAUGUUGUAAUAAAUAGUUUUUUUUUUUUUAGUUGGUUGUAACUACGAUUACAAUUUUUGGUUUCGAGUAUGGCAUUAUUAAGGCGUACUGUGAAAAUUUUAUCUAUAGCACAUGACCGAAAAUUUUAUCCAUAGUUGAAUUGUCACAGCCCGUCCCGGAAUUUCAAUUUCCGACGACGUGAAAUUACAGAAACGCCCUUAAACGGGAUUAAGGUGCGUAAAUUUGGUAUUUGUUUUACACUAAGAUCCUAAACUAGGGAUUAGAAUUGUUAUUAGUAUGUGUUAAAUUAUCUGUGUUGGACUUUAGGUGGGACCCUACCCCCUAAAUCAUUCCCUCAAUUCUGGAUCCAUGUCUCCUUCUCUCUCUCUUCCUCAUCUUUCCCUCAGUCAUUCUCACACUCCCUCAUUCUCUCUCAAACUCUCGGACAAACACCCAAGACCUUGAAAACUUCACAAGUUAAGGUUGAGGAAGGUAGCAUCGUGUUUGUGAGGACCAUACGAACACAUUGGUAUUGUUUUCAGGUAAGAUUUCCCACGAUUUCACGUAGAAAACUCAAGCCCGUGAAAUGACACUAUUCAUGAACUUUGUGUUUGUUGAUUUUUAGGCCAAACUAAGAUCAUAGGGAGCUCUAGGAGGUUCCCACGAAGCUCGGGGUGUGAAGUUUGGAAAGUUUGGACGUCGAAGUGACCCAGUUCGACGUUUGGCCGAAUUUGGAAGAUUUUGGAAGGUAUGAUCUAGUAGUUUUUAGGCCCUAAAACCCUUCCAACGUGAUAGUACUUGUUAAAUGCUUCAUUUUUGUAUAAAAUGUGAAGAAAUUGGUUGAAAAACGAAGGAGAAUAGUGGAUUUGAAAAUUUUCCAGAAACCGGCGAACAGUCGCCGGCGACCGGUGACUCGCCGGAGGACAGGGAAUCUUCCGUUAAGUUUGACGGAAUAUUCCGACGCCGUUAGUUAACUUUAACGGAAACCGUUAGUUUUUAACGGAAUAUGCUAGGAUUUGACGGAAUAUUCCCUAACGCCGUUCACUGUAGCCGUCAGUGUGCAUGUCACGUGGCCGCGCGUGGGCCGCGCGUAGGUCCGUGCCACGUCAGGCGCGUGGGGGCGCGUGAGGACUCCAAAAAUUAUUUUAAAAAUUUGGGGAUGAUCCUGAGGUUGUGUAGGUCACUGUGGUAUAUUCAUAUACCCAAUUUGAGCAUCGUAUGAAGAAUUAAUUACCUAGUUUGGUUUAGGUGCGUUAAAUGUGCGUUAAAUGAUUGUUUUAAGUUAUUUCACUUCUAGGUGGAACUUUUAACGAGGACGAGCACAUCCAGGGGCGUCAAGGGGGUUACGACCCGGCGACAUACCAGUGAGUGGGCAUUUGUUUUUAUAUAUACCUAUAUACUCGAUUUCCCCAGAAAUCAAAUUUAAAUGAAAAGUAUAUUAAAAUGAAAUAUGAUGUGAUUGCCAUGCAUAGAUAUUAUGGAUAUUAUGAACUGUCGUAUGAUGCAUAUAUGUAAGGUGGUGCUGUGGACGCACAGGUAAGUAUUUAAUUACUGUUAUGUUGAUGAUAUAUUGAGCUCAUAUCCUGCACCAUGGUUUAGUGCUUAUAGUAUUCACCGCAUCGCACGCUCGCCUUGGAUCCAAGUAGAUGCUGGUCGUACAGUCCACGCGGAGUGGGUACGACGGGCCAGUCGUAGAGUGUUAGUGAGAUUAUGACUGGUGGGUGACCUUAGGUUAUUGUAUACAGAUGAUUGAUGAGAGAGAAGCACUAGAGCGAAUAUUACCAUGAGUCGUUCAGACUACAUUAGGUGGUUCCGACUUAUGUGCAGAAGGCCGGACAGGUCACGCGGAGUGACUCCGGCAGAGUGAGAUUGAUAGAUGUUGAGCUCUAGGUUCAAUCGUUCAGGGCUAUUAGAGGGCCUCCGAUUGAUUAUUUCUUUUACCUGAUUAUAUUAUGUUAAUGCAUUCAUACUACACUGUUGAAAUUGGCAUGGUACAUUCUUUAUUGAAUCUGUUAUAAGAUUGAUGAUUGAGACAGUUGAGAUAUAUAUGCUAUAUACUAUUUUUCUGGGAAAGUAUACAGGUUUUCCAAAAAGGGGUUAUAAUCGUGGAUUUAUGAAAUGAUUUGGAAAAGCUUAUUUUCGCCCACUCACGUUUUCUGUUUUUCGCCCCUCCAGGUUCUAGUUGAUAGUUGAGGCGUUGGUGGCCUACGAGGACUGCUUCGGCGUUCUGACAGACUAAAUAAAUGUAGGAUUCACCCGAGGGUGUUGUAAAUAGUUAUGGUCCUACUUGACUGCACCUAGACGCUUAUGCUCUGUUUAUGUGUGUUUAGUACACUCUUAUGCACAUAGAAUGCUAGGUUGUAAAUAACUGCAAUUAGUGGUUUUCGUUGACUCGUAUUUUAUUAUUAAAUCGUUUCCGCUUGCGUUAUGGUUACGUCACACUCACGUGACGGCCAGCACGUCCUAGUCUUCGGGUUAGGGUGUGUCAGUUUGGUAUCAGAGCAUAGGUUGUAGUCCUGUAUAACUAAUGAGUUCUUCUAUUGAUUUUUGGAUGUUUUCUGUCAGACUUAUGCCGCCUCGUAGAGAUCCUCGCCGUGCUGCUGAGCCUAAUUUCCCCGAUAUAACUCAGUUAGGGGCAGCAAUGGCUCAAGCUUUUCAGGCUAAUAUCCGUCCUCCUCAGAGAACGCCCGUAGAGACGAUGUAUAAUCUGAAAUUGGAAACUUUUGAGGGAAAUGAAGGUUAUGAAGGGGCAGAAAAGUGGUUGGAUCGAAUUGAACAGACCUUUCAAGUGAUGCAAAGUCAGGGAAACCUGCCAGCUAAUAGAUGGGUGGAGACCACCACCUGGUUUUUGGGCCGUGAGCCAGCUGCGUGGUGGAUAAAUCAGUCGAGGCACAUGGCACCUGAAAGGGCAGCCGAAUGGGAGGUAUUUAAGGAAAAUUUUAUGAAGAGAUUUGUUCCUCCGGAAUAUAUAGAUCGCAAGAAACAGGAAUUCACCAGUCUGAAGCAGAGAAAUAUGUCUGCACAUGAGUACUACAGGAAGUUUACUGAUUUAUCCCGUUAUGAUUCUGAUUUAGCGGGUAAUCAAGCAGAAAUGCUUCGUCGUUUCAAGCUAGGAUCUAAGAAGAAGUACAGAACGUUUGCCAAUGCACUUCCCUGUGCCGAUUAUCAUGAGUAUUUUGAGAUUCUGGUCAGGAUGGAAGACUCUGAUAAUCUUCCAGACAGUGAGGAUGAAGAGGAUAAGGGUAAUGGUCAGAAGAAAAAUGAGAAAGGUAAAGGUGUUUCCAUUCCAGGACCUCGUCAGACGCAGAAUUUCAAGAAAAGUGGAAUGAGUUCGAGUUCUUCCAGUGGUGGAUUUAGUGCCACAGGUCCGAGGAGAGGAGGUGGUAGGUUUGGUAAUGGACCUAGAUUUUCUAGUCAGAGAGGCUUUGGUGGUACUGGUAGUUCGGGUCCUCCGUUAUGUCGCCGUUGUAAUUUCCGACAUCAUGGGGAAUGUAGGAGAAGCAGUGGUGCAUGCUUUACAUGUGGUCAGACAGGACAUAGAGCUAUGUAUUGUCCCCAGAAUCAGCAGAGGCCCCAGCAGCCUGUUAUGCCAACCUCAGCACCGACUCAACAGAACUUUAAUUCAGGCAGUUAUGGCCAGGGUGGUCGUGGUGGUGCUUAUCACUAUCAGGGUGAUGCUGCUCCUUAUGCUCCGGGACAGUAUCACUAUUCUCAGGAUCCUUAUUUUCAGAGUGGAUAUUCUCAGGAUCAGGGAGGUUAUACUUCAUAUCCGUCUAUGCCAGCUAGCGGAUCUCAGUGGUAUCAGGGGGGUCAGCCCCAACAGAGCGGAGUUGCUGCUAGUAGUACAGGGUCGUUUAGGCCGCCUGUCCAGACAGGUCAAGGACGUACUCAUCAGGGACGAGGUAACCAGAGUGGCAGAGGUCGUGGAGGACGACAGCCAGCUCAGGGACGUGUUAACCACAUCUCGCUGCAAGAUGCUCAGAACCAUCCAGACUUGAUUAUGGGUACGUUGAAUGUUCUUGGUCAUUUUGCUAGAGUCUUGAUUGAUUGUGGUGCUACACACUCUGUGAUUUCUCAUACAUUUGCUCAAAUAACGCAACCUCAUCCUUCACCUCUAGGGUUUGAUUUAGAGUUUGCUAUGCCUAGAGGGGAUAAAUGUUUAUGUUGAUAGUUUUUACUCUGGGUGUCCAGUGAUGGUAGAUAAUGUCAUUAUGCCUGCUAAUCUCUUAUCCCGUUAGACAUCGUGGAUUUUGAUGUGAUUUUAGGGGCGGAUUGGUUGCAUUAUAAUCGCGCCCAUAUAGAUUGUUACGGGAAAUCAGUUACUUUUCUUCGUCCUGGACUACCCGAGGUUACAUUUGUGGGUGAAAGAAGUGGGGUGAGGCAUGGUGUUAUUUCCGCCAUAAGGACAAAGAAAUUGUUAUCCAAGGGUUGUCAGGGAUACUUGGCACAUGUGGUGUUAAAUGAUGUUGAUUCCGGUAGUGUGGAGGAAGUCGGAGUAGUCAGACACUAUCCUGAUGUAUUUCCAGAUGAUUUACCUGGGUUGCCUCCAGAUAGAGAUGUGGAAUUUUCGAUUGAUUUGCUUCCAGGUACGAACCCUAUCUCUUUGACUCCUUAUAGAAUGGCACCAGCGGAAUUAAGAGAGUUGAAAAUUCAAUUGCAAGAGUUAAUUGAUAAAGGUUUCAUUCAGCCUAGUUCUUCACCUUGGGGAGCUCCAGUGUUGUUUGUAAGAAAGAAAGAUGGAACUUUGAGAUUGUGCAUUGAUUACAGGCAAUUGAAUCGGGUGACGAUUAUUAAAAACCGUUAUCCCUUGCCUCGUAUAGAUGAUUUGUUUGAUCAGCUCAAAGGUGCCUGUGUGUUUUCUAAGAUCGAUUUGAGGUCUGGGUAUGGGUAUUAUCAAUUAAAGAUUAAAGAUGAGGAUGUUCAUAAAACAGCUUUCAGGACUCGUUAUGGGCAUUAUGAGUUUUUGGUGAUGCCAUUUGGAUUAACGAACGCUCCUGCAGCUUUCAUGAGAUUGAUGAAUGAAGUAUUCCAGGAAUAUCUUGACAAGUUUGUUAUUGUUUUUAUUGAUGACAUCCUGGUAUAUUCUAAGUCGAAAUCAGACCAUAUUCGACAUCUUAACUUGGUGUUAAGGAAAUUGAGGGAACACCGAUUAUAUGCCAAAUUUAGUAAAUGUCAAUUUUGGCUGGAUCAAGUGGCAUUUCUGGGACAUGUGGUAUCAGCUCAGGGAAUUCAAGUGGAUCCUCAGAAGAUAGCAGCAGUGGAAAAUUGGGAACAACCUCGAACGGUCACUGAGGUGCGGAGUUUUCUUGGUUUAGCAGGUUAUUAUAGACGGUUUUGUUCAAGACUUUUUCUAUGAUUGCCUUGCCAUUAACGAAGUUAACCAGGAAGGAUGUUAAGUUUGAGUGGGAUGAAAGUUGUGAGCAAAGUUUCCAGCAGUUGAAGUAUUGCCUUACUCAUGCACCUGUGUUAGUACUUCCUGAUGAUAAUGGUAACUUCGAGAUCUAUAGUGAUGCUUCUUUGAAUGGUUUGGGUUGUGUUUUGAUGCAGCAUAGUAGAGUGAUUGCCUAUGCUUCUAGGCAGUUGAAGACUCAUGAAAGAAACUAUCCGACUCACGAUCUUGAGUUGGCAGCAGCUAUUGUGUUUGCUUUGAAGAUUUGGAGACAUUAUCUCUAUGGCGAGAAAUGUAAGAUCUUUACCGAUCAUAAAAGCCUUCAGUACCUUUUCACUCAGCAUGAUCUUAAUCUUCGUCAGAGAAGAUGGUUGGAAUUGUUAAGUGAUUAUGAUUGCACGAUUGAGUACCAUCCGGGUCGUGCAAAUGUGGUAGCUGAUGCUCUGAGUAGAAAACCUCAAGGGCGACUUAAUGCUUUGUAUGCCAGUCGUGUUCCUCUUCUGGCAGAGUUGAGAUCUACUGGAGUAGAGUUAGAAUGGGAAGAGCAAAGUGAAGCUUUUCUUGCCAAUUUUCAAGUCAAGCCAAUUUUAAUUGAUCGGGUGCUUGCAGCUCAAUCGUGGGAUGAAGAAAUUCAAGAAUUGAUCAAUUUAAGAAAUGAAGGGAAGAAGAAAGAUCUCAAGAUCCGAGGAUCAGAUGGUAUGCUUAUGCAAGAGAACAGGAUGUAUGUGCCUAAUAAUGAGGAACUGAAGAAAGAAAUCUUGGAUGAAGCACAUUGUUCGGCUUAUGCUAUGCACCCAGGAGGAACUAAAAUGUAUCAUACCAUUCGACCAUUCUAUUAUUGGCCGGGUAUGAAGAGGGAGAUUGCGGAGUAUGUUAGUAGGUGUAUUGUUUUUGCCAGCAGGUUAAGGCUGAAAGAAGAAAGAAGCCGUUUGGGAGAUUGCAACCACUUCCCGUUCCCCAGUGGAAAUGGGAGAAUAUAACGAUGGAUUUUUGUGUAUAAGCUGCCACGUACACAAAAUGGUUUUGAUGGCAUUUGGGUGGUUGUAGAUCGACUUACCAAAUCAGCACAUUUUUAUUCCAGUAAGGGAGAAGUAUUCUUUAAAUAAGUUGGCUCAGUUAUUCAUAUCGAAGGUUGUAAAGUAUCAUGGUGUCCCAGUGAAUAUUAUUUCUGAUCGAGAUCCAAGAUUUACUUCUAAGUUUUGGAUAGCUUUUCAAGAAGCUUUGGGUACUAGAUUGCUUUACAGUACAGCUUAUCAUCCACAGACAGAUGGUCAGUCGGAGAGAACUAUUCAGACACUCGAGGAUAUGUUGAGAUCCUCUGUGAUGCAAUUUGGUGAUUCUUGGCAUGAUCGUUUGGAUUUGAUGGAGUUUGCCUACAAUAAUAGUUUUCAUUCGAGUAUUGGAAUGUCUCCAUUUGAAGCACUUUAUGGUAAAGCUUGUCGUACUCCAUUAUGUUGGUCAGAGGUCGGUGAAAGAAUACUUGAGGGCCCAGAGAUUGUGGAUGAGACUACUCAGAAUAUUCAGGUAAUUAAGUCUAACCUGAAAGUGGCCCAGGAUAGACAAAAGAGCCUAGCGGAUCGACAUACCACGGACAGAAUGUAUAAUGUGGGCGACUAUGUUUUUCUGAAAUUAUCGCCUUGGAGAGGUGUGGUUCGCUUUGGAAAGAAAGGAAAGCUAAGUCCCAGGUACAUUGGACCUUACGAGAUCACUGAGAGGAUUGGUGAAGUUGCUUACAGGUUGGAGCUACCUCCAGAGUUGUCUAAGGUACAUAAUGUGUUCCAUGUCUCGAUGCUUCGGCAUUAUGUGUCAGAUCCUUCACAUGUGAUUCCUCCUCAACUAUUGGAAAUUAAUCCGGAUUUGACAUAUGAUGAAGAACCAGUGACUAUACUGGAUUGGAAAGAUAAGACCUUGAGGAAUAAGACCGUGAGCUUAGUAAAAGUAUUGUGGAGGAACCAUUCAACGGAAGAAGCUACUUGGGAGACAGAAGAAAGGAUGAGAGAUAUGUAUCCAAGGUUAUUCUAUGAGUAUUGAGGGUUUGGUUAGUGGCUGGAAUUUCGGGGACGAAAUUCUAUAAGGAGGGGAGAUUGUCACAGCCCGUCCCGGAAUUUCAAUUUCCGACGACGUGAAAUUACAGAAACGCCCUUAAACGGGAUUAAGGUGCGUAAAUUUGGUAUUUGUUUUACACUAAGAUCCUAAACUAGGGAUUAGAAUUGUUAUUAGUAUGUGUUAAAUUAUCUGUGUUGGACUUUAGGUGGGACCCUACCCCCUAAAUCAUUCCCUCAAUUCUGGAUCCAUGUCUCCUUCUCUCUCUCUUCCUCAUCUUUCCCUCAGUCACUCUCACACUCCCUCAUUCUCUCUCAAACUCUCGGACAAACACCCAAGACCUUGAAAACUUCACAAGUUAAGGUUGAGGAAGGUAGCAUCGUGUUUGUGAGGACCAUACGAACACAUUGGUAUUGUUUUCAGGUAAGAUUUCCCACGAUUUCACGUAGAAAACUCAAGCCCGUGAAAUGACACUAUUCAUGAACUUUGUGUUUGUUGAUUUUUAGGCCAAACUAAGAUCAUAGGGAGCUCUAGGAGGUUCCCACGAAGCUCGGGGUGUGAAGUUUGGAAAGUUUGGACGUCGAAGUGACCCAGUUCGACGUUUGGGCCGAAUUUGGAAGAUUUUGGAAGGUAUGAUCUAGUAGUUUUUAGGCCCUAAAACCCUUCCAACGUGAUAGUACUUGUUAAAUGCUUCAUUUUUGUAUAAAAUGUGAAGAAAUUGGUUGAAAAACGAAGGAGAAUAGUGGAUUUGAAAAUUUUCCAGAAACCGGCGAACAGUCGCCGGCGACCGGUGACUCGCCGGAGAAGACAGGGAAUCUUCCGUUAAGUUUGACGGAAUAUUCCGACGCCGUUAGUUAACUUUAACGGAAACCGUUAGUUUUUAACGGAAUAUGCUAGGAUUUGACGGAAUAUUCCCUAACGCCGUUCACUGUAGCCGUCAGUAGUGUGCAUGUCACGUGGCCGCGCGUGGGCCGCGCGUAGGUCCGUGCCACGUCAGGCGCGUGGGGGCGCGUGAGGACUCCAAAAAUUAUUUUAAAAAUUUGGGGAUGAUCCUGAGGUUGUGUAGGUCACUGUGGUAUAUUCAUAUACCCAAUUUGAGCAUCGUAUGAAGAAUUAAUUACCUAGUUUUUUUAGGUGCGUUAAAUGUGCGUUAAAUGAUUGUUUUAAGUUAUUUCACUUCUAGGUGGAACUUUUAACGAGGACGAGCACAUCCAGGGGCGUCAAGGGGGUUACGACCCGGCGACAUACCAGUGAGUGGGCAUUUGUUUUUAUAUAUACCUAUAUACUCGAUUUCCCCAGAAAUCAAAUUUAAAUGAAAAGUAUAUUAAAAUGAAAUAUGAUGUGAUUGCCAUGCAUAGAAUAUUAUGGAUAUUAUGAACUGUCGUAUGAUGCAUAUAUGUAAGGUGGUGCUGUGGACGCACAGGUAAGUAUUUAAUUACUGUUAUGUUGAUGAUGAUGAUAUAUUGAGCUCAUAUCCUGCACCAUGGUUUAGUGCUUAUAGUAUUCACCGCAUCGCACGCUCGCCUUGGAUCCAAGUAGAUGCUGGUCGUACAGUCCACGCGGAGUGGGUACGACGGGCCAGUCGUAGAGUGUUAGUGAGAUUAUGACUGGUGGGGUGACCUUAGGUUAUUGUAUACAGAUGAUUGAUGAGAGAAGCACUAGAGCGAAUAUUACCAUGAGUCGUUCAGACUACAUUAGGUGGUUCCGACUUAUGUGCAGAAGGCCGCCGGACAGGUCACGCGGAGUGACUCCGGCAGAGUGAGAUUGAGAUAGAUGUUGAGCUCUAGGUUCAAUCGUUCAGGGCUAUUAGAGGGCCUCCGAUUGAUGAUUAUUUCUUUUACCUGAUUAUAUUAUGUUAAUGCAUUCAUACUACACUGUUGAAAUUGGCAUGGUACAUUCUUUAUUGAAUCUGUUAUAAGAUUGAUGAUUGAGACAGUUGAGAUAUAUAUGCUAUAUACUAUUUUUCUGGGAAAGUAUACAGGUUUUCCAAAAAGGGGUUAUAAUCGUGGAUUUAUGAAAUGAUUUGGAAAAGCUUAUUUUCGCCCACUCACGUUUUCUGUUUUUCGCCCCUCCAGGUUCUAGUUGAUAGUUGAGGCGUUGGUGGCCUACGAGGACUGCUUCGGCGUUCUGACAGACUAAAUAAAUGUAGGAUUCACCCGAGGGUGUUGUAAAAUAGUUAUGGUCCUACUUGACUGCACCUAGACGCUUAUGCUCUGUUUAUGUGUGUUUAGUACACUCUUAUGCACAUAGAAUGCUAGGUUGUAAAUAACUGCAAUUAGUGGUUUUCGUUGACUCGUAUUUUAUUAUUAAAUCGUUUCCGCUUGCGUUAUGGUUACGUCACACUCACGUGACGGCCAGCACGUCCUAGUCUUCGGGUUAGGGUGUGUCAUGAAUGAUCAAGAUUAUGAUAUAGAAAAUUAUGAUAUUUGUUGAUGUUACCUGUAAGGGUAGUGCGUGAACACGAUCAAGACUUGGAUAAGAUGAUUUAUGCAUAUUUUCCCAUUGGGGGGCAUGAUGGUAAUAUUGCACCUCGAGAAUCUGUUACUUACUUAUCGGGACAAUAGUGAGUUGUUGGUAUUACGGGUUGCUGACCGUAAUAUUGAAAAGGAAAAAUUAGUAUCCGGUCCCUAGUUCUUACUGUUCAUUAACUAAGACCUUAUUAGUUCUCAAAUUUUGAUUCAAGUCCCUAUCAUUAAUUUGAUAAUGAAUUUACAUGUUUAUUAUAUAAUUUUUAAUAUAAAAAUUAGUAAUUAAUUUAGGGUUUAAUACUCACACCUCUAUUAAACUUCUAAUUAUUUUUCAAUUCAAACAUUUCCAAAAUAAAAAAAAAUUAAAUUAAAUUAAGUUUGUACCUAUUAGUUUAUAUAUAUAUAUAUAUAUAUAUAUAUAUAUAUAAAGAUUCUCAAUUUUUUAAUCUUAAAUGUACCCAUUCAUAAUUUUUCAAUUUUUUUAAAAUUUUUAUAUCAAUAUACGUAAAUGUACCCCUUUUUUUAAUAUAAAAUCCAUUCAAAAUUUUUAAUCCAUGUUUAAACUUAUAUGGGUACAUUCUUUUUCGUUGAUUUGAGAAUGUAUCCAUAUUUUGGUACAAUACCUUUUUUUUGUUAAUUUUGGUUAAUGUACCCAUACAUAUAUGUACACACACACACACACACACACAAUGUAAUAGAGAGUAUAAUUUAUAUUUUAUUAUUUUUAAUCCCAUAAAUUAUGGGUUUUAUUUAAAAUGUCAUUAAUAUAAACAAUUACAAAUUUCAAUUUUUAAUUUUUAAUUUAAAAAUAUAGUAACUUACAUUAUUAUAUUAAUGUCAGGGACCUCAAUAAAAAACUAAAAACUAACAAGGUUUCAAUCAAAGAAUAUUGAUAGCUAGGGACCGCAUCCAAAGUGUCCCUAUUGAAAACGUAAGUGUGGAAUUUGUUGAACAAGUAGACAUCUAGGUCCGUCUACGUUUAGUUAUUUAAUUAUUGUUUGGGUUUGACCCAAAGAUAGCACACACUCAUCUUUGAGGCACGUGACACAUAUGGGUGUGUAGGUGAAGUUUUCUAUUUUUGGUGUUGUUUGCAGUACAACUAUUUUAACUUCACUUUAUUAUAUACGUGCUUCGACAUUACAUUGUUAUACAUCUAUUUUUCUACCUUAUGUUUUAUAAAGGACUGUAUAUUUUAGUACUGUACUAAAGGAGAAGGAAAGUUUGAAUUGGAGGCACGAAAGAGGAAUUACUGCACUCUAAUCGCGACGGAAUGACAUUCUCUUUUAUGCAACCACUCUAACUUGAUUUCCUCCUUCCAUAUAUAUAUAUAUACUUUUUCCUUUCUUCUGAAGUACAUUAUGUUUAGCUAAUGAUUUCAAAUUUUGGGGACGAAAUUUUUUAAGGUGGAUAGAUUGUGACAACCCGUCCCUAAUUCUACAAUUUUAUAAAUUUUAAAAGAAUUAAUUUAUGAAAAUGCCCUAGAGGUGAAGGUUUUGACUUUCAUUGGCCAACGUGUAGAGAAAUGUAUGACUUAUUCACUUAGCGCAUUUGUGUAGUACUCGUUGGUACGAACACAUAGAUGAAAGCCGUUUGCGAGUCCGGAUUAUAUCGGUAUAAUUAUAGACAUUUGAAAUUGGUUAUUUAUAGUUUAGUUAUAAAUUAAUUCAAACUCCCAACAUGUGGGAGUGGUAACCAAUCAAUUUUAAGAGAGGAAAAGGAGAACCAAUCAGGAAGGGAGAAGGGAAAAAAUAAAUAAAUAAAUAAACCUACCCAUUGGGCAGUGCACCCGCACACCCAAACCGGUCAAAAUCCGGCUAAUUUCUGCCAUUUUAUUUCGUGGAACACCCAUAUCCACCACCUGCAUCAUCUUCCCCAAUCUUUCUUCUUCCAUCUUCGCUCAAGAUUGAAGAGUUUUAGGCCCAAAAAUGCAAAGAACAUCACCGGAGCAUUGGAGGUGUUCGACGGUGAUUCCUCCGAUCCGGCGAGUUUCACCACCCACCACCACCCUUAAUCAGCUCCUCUUGGACCCAGGAACAAGACCCAAGCAGUUGUAGGGGUGUUGGAACAUCGAGGAAGUCGAAUCGAAGAACACCCAUAUGAUGUACGUAUCAUAUGAUGAUAUAUAUAAAAAAAAGUUGAACCAUUUUGUAGAAAAGAGAUUAGAUUUUCAUAUUUAAAUAUUUAAUUAAAGUAGAAAAUAGGACACUGAACUAAAUCUAACAACAACUCAAAUUUUUGGACAUAAAUUAAAGGAAAAACAAAUAUAUAAAUGGGCAUUUUGAUCCAAAUCCAUAAAUUCAGCUGCUUUCACAUUAAGCCUAGUUUCAUUUGGAUUUUUUUAUGUCUAUUUUGCCCUUCAGAAUAAAAAUAAAAAUAUUAUUUAAAUUUCUUAAAUUUGAAUUUUUUUAAUGCCUUAAUCUACCCACUUUCAAAUAAGAAACAUUUUUAAAAACUCAUAUCCAACAAAUAUGAUAAGUUUAUAAGGAUGAAAAAAAACCAUUAUGAGCCGUAUAUAAAAAAUAAAAAAAAAACUUGUGAUGUAAAUAAUAUAAUCAAUUUGUAAUAGAGGCAGAUUAUAACCAACACAAAAAACAUGUGAGGUAGACUUUGAAAUAAAAACUUAGAUAAACAAGUGUAUUGUCGACCUCCGGAUACAUUGUACUCAGGGCCGACCAUUUUUAAUGUUUUAUUUUUUUAAUUAUUUUUUUCAAUUUCUCUUAUAUAAAAUUAAAAUAUUACAAGUUAAUGAACCAAAAAUAAGGUUUGUUUAGUGGACAGGAGUGUUUCCUAUCUUCAAAAGGUUCUGAGUUUGAAACAUGUUGAAUGUCUUUGUGUAAAUUUGUCAAGCUUUUGUGUAAAUUUAUCGCUUGAUAACUUUACAAAUUUUGCAAAAAUUAAAAUUAGAAGAGGAAAACCACAACAAUUAAAAUUAGCAAAGGAAAACCACAGUGAGUUGAACCCAACUCGUGCACAAAAUGGUAGAAAGCCUAACCACUAGUGUUGGAAGAGAACUUUGGUAUUAUGUUGCACAUUUUAAUAUACGUACACAUGUAAAGAGUAUUUGGGAGACCUUCUGAAUCGGGGUCCUUGUGCAGUGACACCUUUUGCACAUCCUUAGGUCUGACUCUAAUUGUACUUUAUGCAUAUCUACUGCCUAGGAAGACAAAUACCUUAUACCUAUAAAGCAUACAUAUUCUACUUACUAUAUACCAAAAGUAUUUUCUACCUCUACGGCUCUACCUAUUGUAACAAAAUAAAUAAACUUCAUUUGCUAUAACUUUUUUACUCAUAAAAAGAUAAGUCAAUAUAAACAAACAAAAAACUGAGGAAGAAAUUAAUAGUGAGAGCAAUAUAUACACAUGAACACCCAUGGUUUUGGGUUCGAAGGCUUUCUUCCUAGCCAUGUGGUUAAAUGUUCCAACAUGAACACCCACGGUUAGUGGUGAAGCUACAUGAGGGUGAGGAGUGGCGGCCGUUCCUCCCCUCGUCGGAAAUCAAGUCCAGGAGCUGUGGUUCCACCUCUCUGAUCUCGUCGGAAGUGAUGAAAUUCCGUAUGGUUUUAUGGCCUUUUGGGUUUCCUUGCUCUAUCGCAACACAGGCUGAUCGUGGGCUCUCUUUUUUUCCAAAAAAAAAAAAAAAAAAAAAAAAAAAAAACCUAGGCCAAAGAAGGGAGGAACGAAGAUCUGCAUUUUGCAGCUUUUGGAAAUGGAGGUCUGGUUCUAACGAAGAAGAAGAGAAAGGAAGAAGAGAGAGACUUUAUCUCCCUCCCAUCCCACCCCACAUGCCCUUUCAUAAUUACAAUUUGUUUUUUUUUAACUAUUGGCCAAUCAAUUUGCGCCACCUAACUUGUUAUUGCUGAUUUAUAUUGGAAUUUGUUUUUUAUUUAUUGUUCAAUUAAUUUGACCACUCUUCCAAUAUUUUUAAGCCACUUAUUUGACACUGUUAUUUAUCUUAAAAUUCACUAUAAAUUUAUACGAGCUUCAAUAAAUAAUUUGUAAAAUAUUACGAACUCGUAAUUAUUUGUUUUUUUUUCUCUUACCAUCAAAUUCAACAAAGUAAUAAAGAAAAAUUGUCACAUUCUAGCCCGGGCCCCCACCACAUCCCAAACUUGACUCUACCAUAGCACGAUAUUGUCACUUUGGGGCCCGACCACGCCCUUACGGUUUUGUUUCUGGGAACUCACACGAGAACUUCCCAGUGGGUCACCCAUCCUGGGAUUGUUCUCGCGCAAACUUGCUUAACUUCGGAGUUCUUAUGGAAUCCGAAGUCAGUGAGCUCCCAAAAGGACUCGUGCUAGGUAAAGAUGAGAAUAUACAUAUAAGGCUUAUAGGAUCCACUCCCCUGGGCAAUGUGGGAUGUAACAAUCCACUCCUUUUUGGGGCCCAACGUCCUCGUCGGCACAUUUCCAACCAGGAAUUGGCUCUGAUACCAAAUUGUUAUAUCCCGGCCUGGGCCCCCACCACAUUACAGGCUCGACUCUACCGUAGCACAAUAUUGUCCGUUUUGGGCCUCGACCACGCCCUCACGGUUUUAUUUCUGGGAACUCAGACGAGAACUUCCCAGUGGGUCACCCAUCCUGGGAUUGCUCUCACGUGAACUCGCUUAACUUCGGAGUUUUUACGGAAUCCGAAUCCAGUGAGCUCCUAAAAGGCCUUGUGCUAGAUAGAGAUGAGAAUAUACAUAUAAGGCUUACAAGAUCCACUCUCCUGUGCGAUGUGGGAUGUAACAAAAUUUGUCAAUAUUUUUAUAUAUUAUAUGUUUUAUAAUCAAUGUUUUUAUGAUAUUAUAUGCUAUAAAAUAAAUAGAUAAUUAUUUAAACGGUAUAUAAUAAAUUGAUUCAAAUUUGCCUAGGUCCUCGCUUAAGUGUAAAGUCAUGUCCACCGUCCGACUAGAGCUUUGCAUCUUUUAAAACUUUGCUAAUUAUACAGUUAAGUAAUAGGACGAUACAACAAGAAAUGGUGUUGAAUCAUCCUUUAAAUAAUAGUGUUGUUCAAACCCUCCUUCGACUAUUUUGAGUAGUCCAAAUCCUCUUUUGAAUAUUUCGGUUAGUGCAAAUUCUCCUAUGAAUAUUACGGGUAGUUCAAAUAAAUCAAUUGAAUGUUCACAUUUUUUCGGGACCCUAAAGAUAUAUUUUUUAAAUUUUGCCCCUCCCUUCGAGAAUUCCUGGCUUCGCCACUCCACGGUUAUGGGUUCAAGGGCUGGUAUUGGAGAAAUGAUGACAAUGAUCAUAAAAUGCAACUAUAUAAACACACAUAAGACAAUUGAGGAAGAAAUAUAUAUAAACAAACCAAAUAAACGUAAUAAUUCGUUUAGCAAAAUGUUUCUUAAAAGAAGAUAUGAAUAAACGAGAAUCAUGAGAGUUUGCAAUUCAUGGAAGAAAGAAAAAGUGAUUUUGUGAAGGAGGAGGAAAAAAAAAGAAACAAAAAGAGGAAGAAGAAGACCAUGCAUAAGAGAUAGUACUGCUUGUACGCAUUGUUUAAAAUAUCGAUAUAGGUGAAAAUAUCAAUAUGCAAAUUUAUAAAAAUAUUGAUGAAUAUAUUGAUAUCGAUAUCGAUAUCGAUAUCGGUUUGGCAACUUUUGUGCAGUGAAUCGGUAAACAUCAUUGGUAUUCAUUGAUUUUCCUAUAUAUUAUCAAUAUAGGGUAUAUUAACUCAUUCAGAUUUAGUCGAAAUUAAGGAAGGAAUUCUAAAAAAAUUCAAAAGUUUGAAAUCUAGAAUGGGUUAUAGCAACUUUUGUAAUGAAUCAGUAAACAUCAUUGGUAUUCAUUGAUUUUCCCAUCUCUUGCCGAUAUAGAGUGAAAUUUGCAUUUCGACCUUCCUUUUCAUAUCGAAUAUUGAUUGUUUGGAUAUUUUGAUGGAAAUAUCGACAAUUUCGUGGAUAUUUUAAACUCUGCUUGUACAAGAGUAAUGAGGAAGAAGUGAUAAUAUUAUUCAAUGGCUAGUUUGGGAUUGUUGUGCUUUUUUAUAUCGAUAAUUGAUUUUUUGGAUAUUUCGAUGGAAAUAUCGAUAAUUUCGUAGAUAUUUAAAACACUGCUUGUACAAGAGUUAUGAGGAAGAAGAGAUAAUAUUAUUUAAAGGCUAGUUUGGAGUUGUUAUGUUUUUUUUUUUUUUUAAAUUGAUUUUGUUGUGCUGUGAUAAUAAAUAACUGUAAAAUAAAACAAUUAAGUAUUUGUUAAACUAUAAUUAUAAAAGUACUCUUAGCCUAAAAAACAGUACAAUGUUUUGUAAACUUUUAUUUCGAAAUACUUUAACUACGUAAAAUGAUUGAAAGAGACAUGGUGUUAGUUAUGCUAUUAGUUUUAUAAUAAUAAUUGCUCAUAAAAUUAGACUAAUAAUAAACAUGAGUAAAGCUAGCAGAAACAACACACGAACGUUGAAGAAGUGGACGGAGCCACUCGUGCGCGCGGCCAACACGCCAAUCAUUGCAACCAUAAGACUGUACUGGGUAUAUCGUCCAAGUGGCAGAUCCCGCACGUGUGGGUGACAAGAUCGAUGCAGUUCCCGUGGAGGGAGGGAGAAUUUAAUGCGCACCAACCGGGUGAGUGACUGCAUGCCUGGUUCCUGAAACGUCCUUUUAACAACCCAUUUGGAUUCGACUGUGAUAUGCCGGGAACACUCACAAAAAGUCCAGCAAGAGAUCUUUAAUAAGACAAACCUCUUAGAUUUGAGAGAUAUUAAGUAGAUUCUUUCGAAGCUUGAUUUUUCAUGAAUUUUCGUACUUUAUAUUUUUUGUAUAAUAUUUUAUAAUACUGAUAAUGAAAUUAUUUCAAAAAUAUGAGACUAAUCCUGAAGAGUCUCUUUUAAAAGAGUCUUUCCCAAUGCAUUUUACAUCAAUAAUCGAACUUCGGAAUGCUUGAGAAAAAUGAAAUCCACCGUCUAGGCUCUCCUUUUCAUUUAGUAAUUUUGUAAAAUAAUUUCAACGUUAAUUUUAUUUUACAGACAUAAUCAUUAGAUAGUAUCAAAUUAUUGUGCAACAUUUUGAGUUAGAAACAUAACCAAAAAAGUAUUACUAGAUUCUUCGUCUAACUUUUAUCUUUUACGUGCCCAGUGGGACUAUGUCACUGUUCUUGCUACUUAAUCUUUUGUUGAAUUUGCAAGCAUUAUUUGUCAUCAUAAAUUUUCCGAUGCAGGAUGAGUGUCGCAAGUCAGGAUUGUUAGUUGACGACGAAAUAGGAGUGCCAACCAACCAGCAUCCUCCAAUUCAGGAUGAGUUUUUUAUGAUACGAGUAUCCGUCAAUCAAUACAUUUGCAUGUUGGUCGAGCAACAAAUUAAUGAGAGAUAGUUGAGAGAUGAUACGAUACAAAUCAUCACUUACGCUUAAGGCAGCUAGGGUUUAAACUCCUCAUCAGGCUGUGUUAUCAGUGUUAAGUCAUCUGCGGUCAACUGUUUCUAACAUUUUUCUUAAUUAUAGAUAUAAAAACCACAUGAAUAGUGCUAUUUCACACACUUAUUAAUUUUGAUUAUUUAUAUCCUUCAAAUCAUUAAAUUUGAUAAUAAAAAAUAAAAAAUUAUAUUUAAAAAAUAAAAAUAAGUAUGUAAAUAAUAUAAAUAUCCGAUCAAACUUGAUACAAAAUGAUCAAUCACGAAUCACAAAAUUAAGCCACUGUGGUUAGGCUAGUGGAUUGUUCACUCACGAUGGCAGUCAAAUCAAGUCGAGCGGUUGCCUUCAGUCUUUAUGUGGUUUAGGACAAAUAUACAUGCCACAACCGACACUACGUACGGCGGGAUUUUGUAUGCUACCUUCGUGUAACAAGACCAAAGUACAAAUCCAUUUAAUUUCGGUUUGCAAUGCAUGCAUGUGCUUUUACCAUCUCCACAAGAUAUAAAAUCCAAAAACAUGUGUUCCUCGCAUAAAGUUUACUGAUUUACAAUUUAUAUGGUUAAGGCAAGAGGCAUGCAUGCGUACUAUGAGUUUUGUCAUGUGUUAACUGUGAACUUGGUAUGCUAUCAUUGACGAAUUUAGAAUUUUUAAAUAAUGAUGUUAUAAUUUUAACUUAAAAAAACUUUAUUGAACCAUUAAUUAAUAAUGUUAUUUAUAUCAUAUUUUUGUACUACAUUUAUAUACUAUGACAUCUGAUUUAGAUAGACACAUCAUUUAAAUUAAUCAGAUUUUUUAAAUUUAAUUAAACAUUAUUUAAUGAACUAAUAAUUAAAAAAACUAGUUAACUAAAUGAUGAAUAUGGUAUAGGUCUUUCUCCCUUCCUUCCCUUUCACUGCUGGGUAUACCGAAUGGUUGCUUCUUUUCUUAAAUCUGCAUCUGUGUUUCCCCGACUGAAGAAACUGUUGGAUCUAAGUCAACAAUCUGUGAUUUAAAUAUAUAUGCUAAUAAACAAUAAAUGCAAUAGGAAUUAACAGAAUAUAAACUAGAAAACGAAUUAUAAAAACAGACAACUUGAAGAUCGAGGCUUGCGUACCGCAAUGUCCUUGAAACAGAAAUUUCGUCCCUACUCAGUGCUUGUAGUUCUACGGACGUCUGCUUCACCAGGAUUCAACGAUCUAAGUCAGAAAUUCCAGCACCGGAAAAUUGACUUCUAGCGAAUAUUAAUGUGGUUCUCUCAGAAAGGAUGUUUAUGAUUGCAGGAGAAGAUUUAUGGUUUUUCUAUUUCUAAAUGCCAUGCAGAUGGAUGUAUAUAUAAUGUGAUUAUACCUGUUCGCAACAGGUAUGAGGAAGGGAUGCAUCUGUUGGGAGACAUAUGCUGAAAAUGGUGUUUUUGUUUCUGCGUUUUCACACUUCAGACUUCAUCUGAAAAGAUGAGUCUGUUGGUAAAAAUAAUUAAUUAAUUCAUUUAAAUUCGAAAUUAAAAAUAAUUAAUUAAUUUAAUUAUUAGAGCCCAAGAGCUCCAAGGCCCAAGUUUUGACAAUUAAAUAAAUAUUAAUUAUAAUUAAUUAUAUAUAUUAAUUACCAAUUAAUUAGUACACCCCAAAGCCCAACCCCAAAGGUGAGCCCAAUUUUAGUCUCCAGGUCUAUUACUCCAAUCACUUUCUAUAAAUGACAAAGCCUUAUAAAGUGAUAAAAUCUUUUGGAAAUGGUCAAUGUGGGACAAAGAAAUUUCUACUCAAACUACUCAAAUUUUCAAAAGAAACCACAAAACCCAGUGGUUCUUCGCUCUCCCAAUCAAGUAUUCACCCUUUCGACCAAGAAGUUUGCUCCAAUGGCGGCUAUCACCCACCAAUUUUCACGGCUUUCUAUGCACAAUGAAAGCUGGGUUUUGAGAAUUUUCAUCAUUUGGUGUGCUAUUUUUUACAAUUGUGUUCUCUCAUUUGAAUCCCUGUUGAAAAAUUUGCAGAACCUACCAAAUCUCAUGCGUUUCUAUACCCAAUGAGAUAUGGGUUUACAAAGUUUCAUGAUUCAGUGUGCUUGUUAUAAAAUAUCAAUGAUAUCAGAAAUAUCGGUAGUCCAAAAACACGAAAAUUUCGAUGGAAAUAUCGGGAUAUUAUCGAUAUCAAUAAAAAUUAAAUAAAAACCACGGAAAUUGUAAGAAAAACUUGGAAAUUUUCAUUGAAACUUUGCAGGAUGUUUAUUUAGUCAAUUAUCUAUUAGUUUAUCACAAAAAAUUGGAAGGAAAUGCAUUGCAUGAUAGAUAUAAUUGAUUUAAGUUGAUUAUAUAGCGAGCUGGCAAACAUUGUGAGUGUAGAAAAUAUGUAGUAAUUAAUGAAAGAAGUUUAAACACAUCAUAAUCAUUUAUAUAUAAUGAAUUAGUACAAUAUUUUACACUUUAUACAUUGGAUGGUAAGAUACAUGAGUGACUUAGCAAGGUCUAAAAUAUCGAUGAUAUCGGAAAUAUCGGUAGUUCAAAAAAAUAUCGGUACUCCAAAAACACGGAAAUUUCGAUGGAAAUAUCGGGAUAUUAUGGAUAUUUUAGACCAUACUUGUUCUGCAUGCUUUGUUCUUUGAUUUGAAUCCCUGUUGAAAAACUUGCAAAAUCCACCAAAUUCAUGGUUUUAUGCCCAAUGAAAAAUUUGCAACACCCACCGGUUGGAAGGAAAAACUCCUUGUAUAUCACAAUCAUUAUUUAAUUUAUCAUUAUUUUUAAUUAUUGAUUUAUUAAAUAAUAUUAAUUAAAUUUAAAAUUUUGAUUAAUUUAAAUGAUGUGAUUGUCAACAUCAUAUGUCGUCUAAGAUGGUAUGAAAAUAUGGUACAAAAACAUGGUAUGAAUAACAUUACUCUUUCGUCAGACACCUAGUAGGAACAUGUUAAUGUUUGAAAUAUUUGUUAAAGGCUUAUGCCGAUAUAUGUCAACAACUAGAGGCCUGUUAAGAGUGAUUACAUGAAAUUGUAGAGUAAUAUCAAAGACUUGUCAACUAGGCAUUUCUUCGACUUGUCGGUGAUCGAAUUUGUUUGAUUGCUGCUUAAUUUGAGUAAAAAUAAUUUCAUGUAAAUCCAUUGUAUGAUACAUCUCCAGCAGGAUUCUCUAUGUGAGGAUUCUGAGGAUUCUAAAAUCGUGUCCAUUUAUUGUAUAUUGUGCGAUCAGUUUUUAUCAGAUACUAUUUAUAUUUAAUUUAAAAUUAAAAUAUCUAAAAGGAUUUCUGAUCGUAAGAUGUAUAAUGAACAGAUACAAUUUAAAAAUCCUCGGAAUCCUCACAAAGAGAAUCUGAAAAAGAUCCUCAUUCAAUACAUUUCACAUUUAGAGUUACGUGUUAUUCAGAUUAUGUAACAAACAUAACUUUAUACAUACACUGCUAUUUGCUCAGAACACCACGAUAGAAGUAUGGUUAUACAUCUUUCACAUUUAGAGUUGCGUGUUAUUCAGAUUAUGUGACAAACAUAACUUUAUACAUAAUACAGCACUGCUAUUUGCUCAGAACACCACGAUAGAAGUAUGGUUUUCGACUGCAUGCAAGUCCUUUCCGGUAUCACGAGUGGAUCAUCAAGAUUGAGUAGAGCCAAAUGGAGGAAAGAGACUGAAACAAAGAAACACGUCCUUGUUGGAAGUUGGAAGCUUAAUUUGGCUGUAUAUAUUGUUGACCAAAACAAGCAGAAACUUCCAAAGACAUGUUUGAUUAAGAUAAGGUUUUUAAUUUAUCUUUUUAUGCAGAGUCAAAAGAGUUUUGUUGUACGAAAUGAAGUUUUUGUAUUUUCGUGUUGCAGAUAUCAGAAGAUGAAGAAAAAGCUGGUGCGGAGUCAAAUCCAAAGUUUCCAAGUACAGAAAUCAAUAUUAGUUUUACAAUUCGAAUCAGAAAAGUUGGAGUAUUAUGCUCGGUAUAUAUUAUGCAUCAGAAAAUUGUGGGUUGGAAUUCUUGUUCUUUUUGUUUAGCUAAAUGACUUAAGAAAGCAGCUGGUUAAGACCGCGAUAGAUAACAUGUUUCAAUGCAUUGUGGAAGAAUCUUAAAUUGAAUAAUUAUUUAUAUGUCGCAGUUAUCUUGUCGUAAUGGUGUAUUGUACUUAUAAUACAAAAAUAAAUAAAGUUUUACCAUAAAAUGAUUGACAAUAUAAAAAGUAGAUUAAUAAUUAAUUACUUAUAAACUUAUACAUGAUCUUUUCUUCCAUUAAUAUAAGACUAAAAACGUGGAAAAAAAACUAAUACAUUAUUAUAUCAAAAAAGAUGGACAAUCAAAGGGUUUCUCAAUUCAAUAGGAGCCCAAAGGAGUGAGGUGAAUAGGGUCUUAUCCCAAAUAAGAGAGAUAUGUAAAAAGCUUGUCUAUUUACGUCUUAUUCCUAAUCUUAAAUGGAAUUUAAUGAUGUAGGGAUCCAUGUAUAAACAUAAUACCUAUUUAAAUACAUUCGAAUAACCUGUUAUCAACGUUAAACGUUAUUGUAUUGGUAACCAUUCCAUUCAAGUCGCUGUUUCGAAAUUGAUGCAUGUUAAGUGUUGCUAUAAGGGCAGAAGAGGUGCAGAUAGCAGGGAGAGGGGAGGUCCACAGGUGAGUGGUGACUGCUGACUGCUGACUGAGGUGAGCCCAUGAAAAAAGAUGAUGAUGAUUGUGCAAACCAAGGAUAGUUACUAGUUCAAUCAAUCAUUGCUCACGAGCGGGUUCGCCUUACAAACGUGGCCGCACGAUGCUCCAAGAACCUGCACAGCUCAGCUGAGGACCCAGUCACCCAAAUUAUCCCACUUUAUACUCUACUUUCGACCAACUUUGACUCAACUGACUAGUUCAUUUUCUUUCUCCAAAUUGCACUUUUGGUUUAGGUAGUUUGAGUAAUUUUCCACUUAGUUUGGAACCUUGGAUUUUGGCCAUUUUAGCCAUGUAAUUGUAGUUGGUCUAUUGGGAAGAGGAUCCGGUUCGGAUCUCUCCCAUCAAAGGCUCAAGAUCAAAUGAUCUGGAUCGUUGAAAUUUGAUCAAAUGGUUACAAACAGAGAACCCCUCUAAAGUUAUAAUAAUUGUAGCCGUUGGAUCAAAUUUUAACGACCAAGAUCACUUGAUCCUAGACCUUUGAUGGGAGAGAUCCGGACCGGAUCAUCUUCCAGUCUAUUGGGGCAAUCUUGGUAACCAGUUACUUAGCCCGUUAUAAGUGAAGACGGAAAAUUUGACAUGUGUGUGCAUAUAUCGUACACAACUAACUUGACAUUUGAAGUGUAAUGACUGUGUGUGAAUAUUCCUAAACCCUAAAAUUCCUAUUGUGUUGAAAGUUUAUAAUAUAUGGAACAUAGACGACCAUGCUUAGCCAACCAGGCAGAAGAGAAGGUUAAUAAUUCAUCCACGAAGUCUGGUCCAUACUCCUUUCUUACAAUGCUUGUAAAUGACGUCAACAUUCCUUUGUGUACAAUCUUUGUAAAUGCGUGACUAUAUUAUCGGAGAGUAGUUGAUUAGUAUCACACAAGUACCAUUUCAGAUUACAUUUUCAUCACUACUUGUACUUUUGGAUGGACUUUACUUGCUAUUUUGUUGAUCCAAUUUUAUGCAUCAUCAUAAGGACUAAAAUGAAAAAUUUCUCAAAUUACAAGGACCAACAAUGUAAAUUUACCUAUUAAUAUUAUGCUCAUAGCUUUGUUAAUUUUCUGUGCAAUUUAAAUGUGGUUGGAAAUUUUUACGUCCAAAAAAAAAAAAAGAACAAAAUGAUGUUUGCUUUACUAGUCUUUUUUCCUACCAUUGCUUGAUCAAUCAUAUAAAUAGGGCUCUCUGCGUUGCAGGACCACAUUUGAGAUAACAAUUUUGAAUUUGCAUGGCUGACCAUUUGCUCUUGCUUCACUAAUGAUUGCCAUUAUGUCUUUCUCGUUUUAACAUGCAGCAUCAUCCAUUCCACUUGUUGUAUUAUACGAAACACUAACUACGCUUGUUAGAGCAUCUUCACGAGGAGAAAAACUUGUACUGAGUUUCCGACCACAUUAUUGGUAGGACAUCUCUUAUUGAAACUCUAGACGAUGUAAGAUUUGUCCUGAUCAGACUAUCUCAAACGAGGCAAACUAGAACCAUAUUGAAUUAGGUUAAAAACAAGGGAAAGUUUGCUUCAAGGGUUUUGAAAAGGUAAGGUUGCCUUUUGGAAUUUCUACUAUAUUGAACAUGAUCCUAACAAACAUGGGAAAAUCUUGACCCAAGUUUUUAUCUUAUGUAAAGACAGGAACAUUUUCCUACAUCUUAUAAACAUGGGAAAAUCUUGAGUUGGAAUUUUAUCAUUUACAAUGAAUUGUAUAGAAAUUUCUCUCUUCUCAAAGUUUGAAGAGAUCCCAAGUUCAAAUCCAUCCGCUCGACCAAAGAACAAAAAGAAAAGAAACAAUGUUACCAUAAUCAAUACAUAAUACUAAGAGCCCACUUCUAUUGGGGUCUGGCUACAAUACUACGUCUCACUCAAUAGUACGGUUUACAAUUCAUAUGCAAGACUUAAACUAUUGAUUUUCGGACCACUAAGGUCCCGUUUGGGAUUGAGGUGAUUUUAAAAAAAGCCACUGUGAAAAAAAGCUGAGGGUCAUUUUUGUGUUUGGUAAACUGAAAAAAAAUGGCUUAUUUUGGAAGCUGCUGUGAGAAUAAGCUGAAAAUCAAAGGAAAAGCUGAAGCUGCUAUUUGCUGCUUUGAAAAAAAGCCAGUUUUUUCAAAGCACACGGAGCUACAGUGCUCCUUUAAUGAAAAGACACACUAUCAUCCUGAUUUUUUUUCCAAAAGCACUUUCACAAAAGUUUACCAAACACUCUACUGGCUUUAUUUCACAGCCGCUUAUUCUCACAGCACAGCCGCUUAUUCUCACAGCAGCUUUUUUUCAAAACACAGCAAUACCAAACCAGCCCUAAGUAGUAUGUACCAUAUAAGAAAAAAUAGGAAAAACAAAAAGAUAAAGAUUGAAGGAUCCAAAGUGUUCCAAUGAUUUCGUUUUCUAAGCACUGACAGAACAAAAGUUGCAGAAACAGGGUUCUGGAAAUGUAUUGGAGAAGAACCAAAGUUCAUAUAGAUGUGCCACACGGGGGGAGGCUUUAAGCAACAGAUAAUCAAGGCAACAUAGGCCUACCUCUGCAAAGCAAAACAUAGUGCCAAAAAAGUCAAAAAAGUUAAAAAGGAGAUUACAUGGACUCAUCGGAUUGAAUAAAUCUAACAGAAACAAGAAGCAAAAUCAAACAUGAGCAUCGAGGGAGAAAAUCGGUGUGUGGUUAUCAAUUCUGUGAAUUAAAAAUUUGUAAAACCAUCAAUAAAAGCAACUCAGAACAUCAACAUUCCAGCACAAAAGAAAGAAAAGAAGGGGUGAACUUUCCCUUUCUGCUAAGCAGCAACACAUGGUCCCCUCAAUACUUUGAUGGUCAGGAUUCAUGCACAUAGAUAAAGUGAAUGAAUGAAUGCAUCAACACAUUAGCACCAUAAUUUUUUAAUUUAUCAUGCAUAAUCAUUAUUUAAUACAACAAUUAAUCAAAGGGUUUUCUAUGAUGGCAUUCUUAGGCCAGUAUAAGCUAAAGAUACAACAAAGAUGUAUAUUAAUUUAGACUUAGUGGGAAGAGAAUCAUUAAUUGGCCGAAAAUUUCGGCCUUUGGUGAAAUUUAACCGAGUAUUUGCACUUUCUUAUCAGCUAAAUACGUGGUUAGGCUAAUAAUCUCAUGACAACUAGACCUAAUAGUAUUAGAGCAUUAGACUAAAGAGUGCAGGUGUUUUAUAAAAUAGCGUUAUCUUGUUCUGGAUGAAUCAUCUAUCAUAAUCCAUAACCUGAAUUUUGCAUUGUUUGUGUUUCCUCUGAAACAUACAAAAUCCACAUCAUUCGUUUGGUCUUUAACAUACAGCAGAUGACUCAUGUUUUGGUCUAAGUUGAGCUAAACCCCUGCAAAAAGUCCAGGUGCCUAGAAAGGGAAAUUUCAAUGGACUCUAUGAACUAAUUGAACACUACUGUAACAGACGGAUCAUCACAAAUGGUUCGAAGUUUUUAGCAAUGACGGUUUCUAGGGUUUUCUAUAUUUGAAUACAACUAAAAUGUUCCAAUCGAUUAGAAGAAAUGCAGACGAAGAACAUACUUUAGUGGAAAAACAGUGCUUGAUAUGACUAAUAUGUUCCAUAAAGUUUCUUGCCACUACUUCCACCUCUUUCCCACCCAGAAUACACCAUUUCGGGUCAUAUAAUAAAAAUCUUCUCCUUUUUUUGGUUAAGUGGGCAACCUCAUCAUCAUCCUUACCUUUGGGUUUUAGGGUUAGGGUAAUUGCAGACUCCAAAUGGCACCAACUGCUAAAAGCAAACAGGCUAUAUACGUAUAAUCUCGUUCGAGAAUUAGAAUGAUAUAAUCGAAUAGAGCUUCAUGGAACAAUCUAUUCUAUCCAAGGGCACACUAAAGCAAUAAAUGAUAUGAACUUCAACUGUGACAACAAGAAACAAAAGCAGUAUUCAACAACAAUAAUUUGUUGCACAGUUCUUACUCAUCAUCUUCUGAGAUAAAAGAAAUCCUGCAUAACUUUGGCAUGCUUGGGGCCAUUUACUUAUUACUUUAAAGCAAUUAUGUCUUUUGUACGCCACUGACAGCACUCGGUUUUCGUUCUAUUUCUUCCUUUUCUUCUUCCCUAGUUCAUCAUACUAGACCUUGGGCCACGUUUGAAGGAAAAAGAACAAUGCAGUCCUGUAGGUGGGGGACCAAGAAAACUCAUGGGCGAAGGCACUUGCCAUCGCACCAAGUGCGACCUCUUUGCAAGCAAAAUUAGAUGCAAGCAAAAUGAGAUACAAGCAAAAAAUGCGUUCGCGUAGGGGUUACAUUAAAAGAAAAACUCAUAUUAGAAAUCAAUAGAGCAUCAAUUCAGAAGUUGAGUUAAUUGGAUGCAAUUACAGAGAUAACAUAAAACUGACAUUAUCCUAUGAUGUGCAGAUCUCGGUACAACAGUGCAAUCUAUGUCUUUUCUGGCGUUAAAGAAUUCAGAUAUGUAAUUUAAAUUAACAAUUCAAAAUGAUAAACAAACUAAAAUUUUGACAUAUUAGAAGAAAUAUAAAUCAGACUUUCUGUUUUUUUAUGUUUUUUCUUUUUCUUUCUAGUCUGUGUCUUCACAAAGGCAACGCGAAAGAGCCUAAAAUAGUUCUAAAGCUGCACCUGUUAUGAUAAUUGAAUAUUAUUCCCCGAGAAACAAAGUUAUAAUAAAAGGCUAAACAUGGAUUUGAUAAAUCAUAGUACGAAUGCAGGCAACAUCUAAAGUUGUUACCGAUUUACUUUCUAAAUAAGGCACCUUUCGAAAAGUAAUUAAUUUAUGUUACCAAAUUCAACUUUUCUCCUCAUGCUAAUAACCCAAGGUAGAACUGUAGAAUUAGUGGAGCAACUUGAUCUUCUUACUUCAGGGAUACGGAAGUUAUGCAGAUUAACAUGCUGAGCUGCAUGGGGAAAAUACAGACAUAAACGUCUCAUCCCACAAUAAUAUCUGACAACAAAAAAACUCAUGCGGUAUCAUGAAACAAUGUAUCAUUCAAUAUGUACGAGUUGUAAGGCUUGAUACAAAACGUAAUCAUUUAUUCCAGAAAGAGUAAUCCAAGAGCUUGUGGACCAAGACUACCACUUAAGGCUUCAGUAACAUCAACUAAUAUCCCAAUGGAUCAAAUGUGAGCAAUGAGUCUUUUAAGCACAAAUUAAAUGGGCUGUUAAUACAUGUUUACAUACACAAUGUUAACAAAAUUCUUGUUUCCCUUUUCGUGGCCACAGCCUGCCGAUGUUACAAGGAGAGAUGCCAAAGCAUAAAACUACGUAACUACUCAAGAUUUUUCCUGAAAGAGUACAGGGAAAACUAAGGCCGAAAAGAUAGCCACCGCAGCAUCAGUCCUGCAUCAUAGUGAUAUAAUUUUGAGACGUUUAACGCACCAAAGGCACCGGAGAAACGAUAAAAUUUUGAACCAUGCAGAUAAAACAACAAAAGGUACUCAUGAAAUACAUUAGGUAGGAAAAGGGGCGGGGGGGGGGAGGAAUAUAACCGGAUAAAUCUACGACUUUAUUAACUAAUUGUUACUGCUCAAACAUUGUGGAAACAGUGGAGUUGUAAACUGGAAACCAAAUUAUGCGUGCCAGUUCCAUGAUUCCAUGACCCUCACACACCAAAUAAAGACAAGGUAGUGCAACUCAAAAAAGGCAACCUCAAAAUCCCAUGAUUCCACCAGGCAUUAUCUCGAAAGACAUGGAUCAUUUCCAAGUCAUUGUCAACUCUUUAUCUCCCUUUUUAAACAGCAACAAAUACGCAUGGUGGUGGUCGACCCCUUUCAGUGUUGGGCCAAAGCUUUUUCUCCAGCAAUUGCAUUUGGUAAAACACCUGAGUAUUCCACCAAGACAAAGAUAAUGGCAACUAAACAACGUUUUCAAGUUUCAGGAACAUGGGAUUCUCAGAAACCUAAACACCCAACUAAAAAUCCACCAAAUUUUAAACCCCGAACAUGUUUCAGCAUAUAACAAGCCAACCAGUAAUUAACCAGUUUCAGAUUGUGCAAAAAAAAAUGUAAUCUUUUCUUCUGAGAAAUUAAAUAAAUAGAAGAGGUGGGGAUAAUAGUAUAGAGAGGUACCAAGAGGUUUGUACUGGAUCUGCUGCUCUCCGAGUUACUCAACGAGUUAGACCGGUUCUGGACUGUUGUUCGAUUUUCCCGGUUCAGGGAUGAGAGGAUUUAUGUUAAAUUUUAUUAUUUAAAAAAAAUGAAAAUUGAGAAAAAAGUUCAGUUGCCGGGAGGGUUAGCUUAUGCAUUUAUUAUGUAAAACAGUUCAGUCAUUAACACAAUUAUCCAUUGUCGUCCAGCGGUUAGGAUAUCUGGCUUUCACCCAGGAGACCCGGGUUCGAUUCCCGGCAAUGGAACUUUUUUGCCAAAUAUUUUUCAUUGAUAAAAAAAACGUUUAAGAUUUGAAGUAUGGGGAAUUGAAAUUAACAAACAUGGGAUUUUCCAACGGGAUCCUCUUCGGAUCUUUUUAGUAAGGAUUCAUCUGUUCGAAUCUUUUUAGUAAGGAUUCAUCUGUUCAUCGUAUAUCAUACAAUCAAUUUUUGGUAAAUACUGUUUGUGUUCAAUAACCAUACGACUGAUUCUCGAAAUUCUCACAAAGAAGAAUCGGAUUCUAAGAUUUUAGCCAAUUUUCCUUGAUAUAUUUUGAUUUAUAGCAUUGCAUAUUCAUCUUUUGAGUAAAGCGACGGCGUUAAUGGAUCAAACAGUUGACUAUGAGCGAACAAUAUUACACAUUCAUUUAUUAACAAAACAAAAUCAAAGAAAAAUAACAUUCAUUCGAGUUAAACUCCUAAUAACAUGAAAUAGGCUGUGUUUUUCAUUAAAAUUACACUUCAACAAGUGUCUUGGAACGUAACUCGGAUAUUCCAAUGCAACGAUAGAGCUCGAUUCGAGCAUAUACAAAAUGAUCGAGCCCUUCCAUUUCGGUUCAUCGGGGGUUAGCUUUUCGAUACACAUUACCCUUAACUCAAAAACAUUCAAAGUCAUCGGACUUCAAUAAACCGACUAACCCUACCAAGUUCAACAUCCGAAUGCUGUUAAAAUUUAACUAGUGAGGGUGGAGAGCAUGCCUCCACCUGCAGUAGGUAGCACCACCUCCCAACCCGGGCCUUUGAGGGGAAGCACAUCGGCAACACCAUUGGCCUUCUCUUCUUCAUGAUCAGCAGGACUGCCCAUUAGAUCACUGCGAUCCAACACCCUCUCCAAAUCUUCGUCACUGAUAACCGUCUGUAUCAUCUUGUCUUCAGCAGAUUCUUCCUCUCGGAGCAAUGCUAUAAGAUCCUCUUCCUGAACCAAAUUUAGCACAACACCAAAAUUAGCGAGAUCCUGAUUAACCUGACUGAUUUCAGCUCGGACCAUUGAAGACUUACGAAAUUAUGAUUGAGAUAAAAAGAAAGAGCUUGGAUAAUUCAUGCAUCAACAGCAUCAGACUCCGUAAAUUGAUUUUCUAAUUCAGUUCAGCAUAACAAACAAAGGGCAACUAACCUCCAGGAAAUCAGUACUACUCUUCGCUUUAUCUUGAUGGAACUGCCCUUUCCCAAUCACCACAUGUUCAAGCUUCAACUUGCUAAAAGCUCUUUUCAGAAUCCGACCCUGUUAAUCAACAUUUUCUCCGAAAUUUUUUACAAUGACAAUAAAAUAUACCCAGUUACAUAUAAAAAGCUGCAAGCAACACCAGCUUACCUCGACAGAUUGUGCUGUUGCCAACCUGUAAACAUGAACAGGCUUCGUUUGACCAAUUCUGUGACAUCUAUCCAUGGCUUGCAAAUCCAUUUGAGGGUUCUGGUAUGCACAAGCAAUAUAUGAAAUGAAAUCAAUCAUUCAUGGAUCUUUAAUUGCAGCAGAAGAAUCGAAGAAAGAAUUAAACAGAGAGAGUGUAUACCCAAUCACUGUCGUACAGUAUACAAGUAUCAGCUGCAGUAAGGUUGAUACCCAGUCCACCAGCUCUGGUGCUUAGAAGAAAGAUUCUAUAAUUGCUGUCCAUGUCAUUGAACGCUGCAAUCUGCUUUCAGGAAUAGAAUAGUUAUAAUUAAACUAUAGUUGUUCAAAAGUAAGCGCUGAACCCAAAAGGAGGGGAAAACCAAAUUUGAGUAUGUAAACAAGUUGGGCAAUGAGAAAAUAAACUCCCAAAUCUAUGUACCGUGAGAACACUAAUCUAUGGCACGAACUUAAGGUUUUAGCUGCCAAGAAAUAUAUUCUGAUGGCAUAACCACAUUUAUUUUGGCAGUUAUGCUUUGAUUGAACCAUUAUGUUACAUUGCAGAAGUCUGAGAAAACAAGGGUUGCUACAUUGUGGAAAAAUAAGUCUAGUUUUAAUGUGGCCAAAGAAAGAGAUCACAUACAUCAACUACUAAACUUCGAAAAUUUCAAACGAAAAAUUAAGAGUUCUGAUUCAAACCAACCACAGACCUGAUUUCUCCGAUCUUCAAGCCUCACACUGCCGUCAAUUCUACAAACUUCUAAUCCUUUCUCACUAAAAUAGUAGUCCAUAAUAUCCAAAAUCUUAGUCCACUGAGAGAAGAUAAGAACCUGAAUACAAAUUCAAGAUAUUAGCAACCCAGUAACAAACAAAAACAAAUCCAAAAAUAAUUGGUAGGCAUACCUUGUGUUUGCGGGCAAACAGGUACUUUAACAGCCGGUCCAGCAAACUAAAUUUUCCACACUGUUCAACAAUCUGUUCAACAGGCGGGUAGAAAUCUGUCAAGACAAAAAAAAAAAAAUGCAUAAGCAUUGGUAUAGCACCUAUUUGAUAUGAUAACACUGAAUCAAUUCAAGGCAAAGUACAUGAGCCAUCAAACGCAGACUCCAAAAGGUCAGGAUGAUUGCAGUUCUUCCGAAGUUGGACCAUCAGAUUGUUAAGCUUUCCUUUCAUACCGCGAACUGCAAGUUUAAGAAUUGUUAAAUAACACAGAUUGCAGCAUAAUAUGAUACAGUAAAAGACACCAAGCCAAUCAUCACAUUUCAACACCAUGCCAAAGUAUACAUAGUAUACCUUCAUCCAAUAUCCUGAUUAAGGUUAAGAACCAUAAAACAGGCCCAUUACAAAAUGUGUUACCGCAGUGAAAAAAAGAAAGAUUCAAAUAGCUAGUCUAUCAUAAAUCCUAAAACCAUGGCAAAAAUACAAGCCCCACCAAUAAUCCACCUCCUUAACUGCCUUAGUUAAUUAAAGUCAUUAAAGUAAGACCCCAGAUUUCUCACAAGGAAUUUAGUGUCCAAAAGUUUCACAGCAAAGACAGAUAUCAUACCAUGGUCUCCCCUCUCAACUAAAUAAUUCUCCAAUGUCUUAUUGAUCAGAAGAUCUUGAAAAUGUUUUUGAUGCUCUGUCAUGCAUGCAUAUAAUAUGAUUUCCUUUUUCCUAGGAAGCAUGUGCUCAACAUCAGACUUCAUUCUUCGAAGAAGAAAAGGACGCAAGAUGGCAUGGAGUUUUGCAACCAUCUGCAGACAAUGGAACACCAAUUAAACAUCACCCAAUUCAAAUUUGUGCAAGAUUUUAAGCCACAAUAUUUGCAAGAACACAUACUUGAGCCCUUCUCUUCUCUUCCAAUUCUUCCUUCAUUGCCUCAUUACUGCACUUUCCUGCCAAAUCAAACCUGACAACAUGAUUGAAGUUAAGCUAAUUGAUGGGGUCAAGUAAUAUUAGAACCAUUAUCUGUCGUAAUUUUUUUCAUCCAACAAACUAACACAAUCUAGCCGCACAGUAAAUUCACAAGUUUUCCACAAAAAUUACUCACCUAACAUAUCAUGGAUCUUUUUUAUUUAUAUGACAAUAUAUUUACACUAGAUUUGAACCUAAGACCUCUCACUUACAAGUGAAGAGAAAUACAACUACACCGUACUAAGUGGCACUGGCAAAAUAUACCAACAUAUAGCAUGGUUCUUAAACAGCUAACCUUCAUCACAGGAUUUCUAAAAUCUAAUAUUUAAGUAGGCUUGAAGCUCAUUUCCUCUAGUUAUACAUAUGCAAUGGAACUUUAGUUGCAUCAUGCAGAUUCUGAGGGGCAGAAAGUUGUCAACCAGACUACUUGUGGAGAUGUCCACCUCACUAGACGAACAAGUUGCAAGCUAACACCAUCAAACAGAAGAAACAAUAAUUAAUCAGAAAACCAUAUUUACCAUGACUCAAAUUCUUCAUGGGAUGAGAAUAUAUCAGGCAAAAUGAAGUUUAAUAAUGACCAAAGCUCUGCCAAAUUAUUCUGUAGAGGUGUCCCGGUCAACAGAAUCUUAUUGUCUACACGUAAAUGUUUCAAUUCCCGCAGCAGCAUGCACUUUGAGUUCUUCAAUCUGUGACCCUUUAAUAAACAGAUGCAUAAAAGUUCAACAUUCAUGCUAUAUAGUUAUAUCGUUUGAAAGGGAAACUGUAUCUGUAGGACUUGUUAGAUUACUUACUUCAUCAACCACCAGAUAUUUCCAACUGUAAUGUCUUAAACAUCUUCUUGCAUCAGCCAUUGCAAUUUCAUACGAAGUAACAAUUAUAGGGAACUUAGGGCCAAUUUUACUAGGCAUGUGCUUCCUUCGUAUCUCAUCCCUUUGUUUCUUGUCACCAUGGUAGACAAUAGCAUUUAUUGAAGGUGUGAACCUAUUUGGGGUAAAAAGAAGUCAAAUGAAGAAUUAAAGUUGGAAAAUCAUAGGAUGAAACAAAAUUCAGAUCAGUUAAACAAAAAGUAUAUAAACAAUUUACCUUGAAAUUUCAUUUACCCAAUUCGCAAGAGUAGAAAGAGGAGCAAUCACUAAGUAGGGCCCAUCCAUUCCAUUCCCUUUUAGAUGAGCAAGAAAACCAAUGGUUUGGAUAGUUUUUCCAAGUCCCAUUUGAUCUGCAAGGAUCCCAUUCAGACCAUUUUGCCAUAAUGAGAUCAACCACUUUACACCUUUGAUUUGAUAAGACUUCAAUUUUCCACCAGUCAGCAGAGGCACAAGUUCCUUUUGUUCUUUUUCAAUUCUUUGUUCUUCAGUGAGGUUCUCAUCUUCAAUUUUCACACCCUCUUUAGAUCUUGUAAGCAUAGCUUCAACUGCCUUCUUUGCCUUCCUCUGGGAAGUGAUAAUGCACAGGUAAAGAUGUCAAGAUACAAAAUACAUAAUGAAGAUACAUGGAACUUAAUGAGCAUACCGAAAUAUCAAAUAAAGAUGUGCUUUUUCAGAAGGGAUGGAAAAGUAAAACUUAUAAGAAUAAGACUUUCCCAAGAUUUCUCAAGAUUUAUUACAUGGCAAAUAGAGAAGAAUCCACUUGGUACAGGAGGCAAGAGCAAGCAGACUACUAAAAACCUCAAUGUUAAUCAAUAUAAUAUCAACCUAAUCUGAUUUUACACCUAUAUAGGAAUCCAUGUAUAACUAUGACCUACCAAACCAAACUCAGAAAUAUCUCAUUUAAGAAAAGUAAAGGAAGCAUAGAAUUUCUUACAUUAUCAAAAUUGGCAGCUGCCUUUCUUUUCCUACCACGACCUUUCUUUUCCUCAACAUUCUUUUCCUCAACAGUUUCACUCGGUUGAUUGGCUCCAACCUAGUAAAACAUUUCAUUUUAGAACUUGAUCAGUAAAAAUAAGGAAUUCACCAUUCAAGAAAGUGUAAGAGACUGUACAAGUGUGAUGUUAUCCAUUUUCUCAAGCAAAAACUGCGAGUACAGCUGAGUUUGCGUAAGGAGCUCAUCCAACUUGUUAUACUGAGUGUCAUUAAGGUGGGGCAACUGCUCUGGUGCCUUUCCCAUUUCUGACUCCUCUUCCUUAACCCGCUCUUCAAGCAAUUUCUCCUCCACCUCAGUCAGCUUGACGUCGAUCUUUGUCUCACAUGCAUCCUUAAACAUGAUUAAAAUGCAACAACAUUAUUCAAUCAACAACAAAAAUAUGGGUCAAGAAACUAGAAAUGUAACAUCACGAGAAAAUUAAGACAAAUUUAGACCAAUUUAUCAACUCCAACGAAAACCACACAACGGCACAAUAAACCUAUCUACUUAGUCGCCCAGAAGUCUGCCAACACUAUGAAACACAAUAAUUCACAGAAACAAUAGAUUGAGCAUGUCUGUGCAAACAUCGAUUUCACAGCAAACGAAAACUUAAAAUUUCAUUGAGUAUUAACUCAGACUUAGUUCGAAAGAUAUGAAAGAUAGAGACACACAAACACAAGCAUGCAUAAUUUUUCUUCAGGAAAAAAAAUCCUUUUUUCGAGCAAUUCAUGUCUUUCUACGAGCAUUUUCCUCCAAAUUCCACCAAAUUACAAAUCCCCAAACAGAAAAACUGUACAAACAAACGCCAUUCCAGAAUAAAUGAAAGAAAACCUCGUCCUCGAGUACUGAAGUCGGAGAAUCUGCCGGCGGAUCGUUCUUCGUCGCCAUUUCAAAAUCUACAAGCGAAGAACAAACACUAAGUACAUAAAAACCGAAUAAAAAACCCUAAUGACAAAUAAAUUUGUAGGAUAUCAGGAAAACACAAACCCUAGGAUUCAAAUUCCAGAAAUAGCCGUGGAAAUGAAGUUUUCACCCAAAUCAAAAUAAAAAUUUGAAAAAAUGAAAUAAAAAAAUGAAAUGUAGGAAAUAGAACCGUACGGCGGUAGGGUUUCUUCUCAGUGCGAGGCGCGGAGAGACAGAGGGCUCCAGAGGCAGAGGCCGGAAGCGGAGAGAGCAAAAGGAGGGAAGGCGAAGAAGCGCUUGAGAUAUUUAGUGAGAGAGAGUGAGGAGGGUAGUGGAGGAGCAGCGAGGUAAUAAAGUUAGUACAGCACCAAAUCCAUUUUUUAUUUAUUUUUUGAAGUGAUGGGUGUGACUGGGCGGGAAAAUGGGGUUUCGAAUUUGCCCUAGGAUUAGUAGUUAAUUACUCUGACGCAUUUCGUGGUGGUGUUAGAAGAUUUGCCUUUUUUGGUUAGUCUUUCAGCGUUGGUGAACAGGGUUUAAUUAGUCUUUUCAGUGGUAUUAAAGUGGGUUUGUGGGUUCCCAAAUUGGGGAACAUGCGCGUUUUGUCUGCCCUACUUUUCAGAUCUUAACGUUAUAUGAUAAAAUGAUAUAUCACGUAUUUUUAUAUAAAUUGUGAGAAAUUUUAUAUUUUAAAUUAUUAAUUUUUCGACAUACAUAUCAUAUUAUUAUAUAGUGAUACGUAAUAUAUCACUCUAUGUUUCGAUCACACACAAAAUCUCUCAUUGUUAAGGUCACUCUUUGGAUUUUUUAGGUGUAUCCACUCUUUUUAAUUUAGUUUUCUUUUUGCUAAAUAACUUUUGAAUUUUUUAGGUGUAUUCCAUGGACCAUCCUCUUUUUUUAUCACUUAAUACUAGAGUCUAAUAGAAUUUUUUUUUCACUUGUAAGUAAGAGGCUUUAUAUUUGAUUUUCGCUAAAGGUAAAUUCGAAUCACGUUAUUAUGGCUAACAUAUACUGUAACUUAGUUCACUCCCUCACCCUCUUUGUAGAUAAUAUCAUAUGUAUUAGAAAAAGAUAAUACUUGAGUUCUGAUCACUAAAUCUUUAUAAUUUUUCGUAUUUAAUAUAACAUUUUUAUCGUUUAAAAGAUGGUGAAAAUACUAUUUAACCUUAUUAACAAAAUGUAAAGAAAAACAACCAAAAUAAAAGUUAUAUGCAAUAUAGUAAAUCACACACAAAACAAUUUUGUUAUUUUUUUUUUCUCCCUUACAUCCAGGUAAUCCUCAUUUUUCCUCCCACUGCUCUCUCUCUCCUCUCCUUAACUUCUAACCAAAACAAAUCACUACUCUCUCUCUCUCUCUAUAUAUAUAUAUAUGUAUGUAUUUAUAUUUCUUUCACUCACUGAGUAUGUGGCCAUUGCUAAUGGCAUUUAUGUGUUUAUUUUGGACUAGAAUACCACUGUAUGUAUUUAUAUUUCUUUUACUCACUGAGUAUGUGGCCUUUGCUAAUGGCAUUUAUGUGUUUAUUUUGGACUAGAAUACCAACUUGCAUAAGGCUUAGAGUGUCUCUAAAUGAGAUGUCAAAAAUUCCACGUGGACCCAUUUGACAAAAAAAUUGAUGAUUUUCUAGUUCUAAAGGAGAUAUCAAAAUCCUACAUGGAUUGACAUUCUCCACUUUGCUGUCAAAUUUGAAGACAUGGUCAAUUUUUUGUUCACUUAUUAAUUAUUUUAUUAUUAAAUCUUGACCUACUUGAUUUUAUAAAUAACCAAAAUGCAUUUUAACUUAAGAUCUUAGUUAGAAUAAAAACUUUACAAAAUAUUAUUGGCGUAUUAUAUUAACACCCCACAAAUUGUUGAAUAAACCUCACAUACUUAAUACACCCCACAUUUGCUUUUUCACUUAAAAAUUAUCUUAAUACACACCACAUCCUUUUCCAUAAUACCCCCACACCCCACAUUCUCAAUAUACACCUUAUAGUUUGUACAUACACCCCACAUCUUUUAUUAGAGAAAAACAAAACCCUAGCAGCAAAGAAACUGAUGAACAGAUGCAAAAAUCAGGUGUUGCACCAGCUACUAAGCCUCUUGUUUCAAUUUCUUGGCAUGUACCGCGCAAGAUUAAUCGCGACAAGAACCAUGGAAAAACUAAUCCCAGGAUUUACUCAGAUUAUUCGAGACCAAGAACACGUCCUCCAUCCUAUAACUGAGCUUAAAUUCUUUAUGUAGUAACAUCUUUUUUCCUUCUUCAUAUAUAAAUAUGAAGAUAUCUUAUAACUUUCAUAAGAAUAUACAUAAAGAAAGCGCUUAAAGUAUCAUUGGAGUAUAUGAUCUAUAUAUCUCCAAGAACUACUUUGUAUUAUUGUGCAUCUAAAUAGUACUCGGAUCCAAUUGAACAUAUUAAUUUUUCCUUGUGAUCCCUCUUACCUCAUGUGAAGCUUCCGAAACAUCGAUUUCGUGUUCCAUUCGUCAAAAUCAAUUUUUCUCAAUUAACAUGUUUGUAGUUUCAUUGAUUAGGGUUUUGUUCAACAAUGGAGAGUGGGAGGGUUUUGAUAGUUGAUAAAAUAAAUAAUACGCUAAAAGUGAUUUGGGGUGUAUUUAGAGAUUUUUAUUUUAUUUUUUUAAAACCUAAUAAGGUCAAAAUUGUCAUUGCAUAAUGAGGUAAAUAAGUAAUUUAAUAUUAAAUUUUAAUGUGGGAUGCUAAUAAAAAAAGUCAUAUUAUUUUGCCACAUCAACUACAAAAAUAAAAUUUGACAGCUCUACUGAAAAUGAUCUUAGCUUUAUGCGCUUAGGAUUUAUUUUGUAACUUGAAUAAAAUUAUAAUACGAUAUGGCUAGUAUUUAAAAGAAAAGUUAAACAUAUACUUUCUUCUCGAAUCUGUUAAAAUCAAUAAUCAAGCACCCACUAAAAAUUUAAAACACAUGCAAAACAUUUUCAAUGAAAAAAGAAAAGAUUGGCAUCCGGCAUGCGGCAUGCGGACUUCGAUAUGGACAAGGAUUGUCUGCCUUUCAAUUUUUCGUGUUUUUUCGUGCAUUCCUGUUUUGUGUGGUCACGGUUAAACCACGUCAACAUUUUAUAUUGUUUUUUUAUAGAGAUAAUAAGACAAAAAUGAAUAGUAAUAUAAAAUGUUGACAUGACUUAAACGUGACCACACAAAUAGGAGGGCAUGGGAGGGCACGAGAAGUGAGAGGGCAGACAAUCAUUGUCCUUUCGAUAUAUGGGAUUGUACAAAAAUAAGUGAAACGGGUCAAUUAUUGGGUGAGUCAGGAGGAUUUUCGUCGGAUUCUCUUUGUGAGUAUCUUAGGGAUUCUUUAAUCAUAUUCGUUCAUCGUAUAUCAUGCGGUGAUAAAUUAUUGUAAAUUUUUUUAUUUAAAAUUAAACAUAAACAGUACUUGACAAAAAUUGACCUCACGAUGUAUGAUAAACAGAUGUGAUUGGAGAAUCUCCAGGAUUCUCUCUCUUGGGUGAGUAGAUCAAAGAAGAUGGAAUAUACGUCUAACCUCACACAAUAACAGGACCUUGCAUUAUAUCUCCACCCAUCCAAGUAGCUAGUCCCACUUUGUUUUUUCAUAAUGCCAUAUGCAGAAGAUCAGACAAAAUUGUUUUAUGUGAUCUUACGUUGCAUGUUGCUUAAUCGUUUGCCUUAUUAAAAAAGUUGAAACUUAUGACCUCAAUAUUCCAACAUAUUUUUUUCACACUAAAGUUAUAAAUUUUCAUGUUUAGUCACACACUAUAUUUGGUUCUCGUAAAUUUAUAAAUUAUGAAUUUUGUCCAAAUACAUUAAGAUUAAGUACAUACUUGCAUAAAAUGGACGAGGGAGUCAAAUUUUCAUAAAGAAAAUGCUAGAGAUAUCAUAUUUUGUAUAUCACGUGAUGUGAAGGUUAACUGUUGAAUUUUUUAAUGAUUUAAAGAAUGAAUGCAAGCAUCAACUGCCACAUCAUGUAAUCUACAAAAUAUGAUUCAAGAUGUCAACAAAUAGAUGUUUGUUUUAUAAAGUUUUAGAAGAUGGACCAACGAUCCAAUAAUAAUUACAUGGUACUACCCCAACUUAGAACAACUGUAUGAGGGUUUAACACAAAAUGUCUCAGUCCAAUUAGUAGUAGAAUCCAUCCAUUAAAGGCCUAAUUGGAAUGCUAGUCCAGUCCUCAUGGUGAUAAAUUAGUCGAAAGAUAGCACAUAUGGCAGAAAAAUUAGGAUUUAAACUCAAUUGUGAUUAUUGUUAAUUGUUUAUGGGGAUAGAGGUACUCACCUCAUAGCCGUUCAUAAAUCCAGCCACCUCUUUUAUACAUAUAUAUGUUUUUAAUUUGACGAACUUAUUUUAAUUUUUUUAUUAAGGCGGAAGUAGUCUUUUAUCACAAUGAUGGAAAUGUGUCGAACCUUUGUAUGACGGCGUGAGGUCAAAUCUCAUCAUUAGUUAAUCUAACAUCUAAUCUAAUAAAAUUUAAGGAAAACUAAUGAAAAGGGCUUGAAAACUUUGAGUUUUAAUGAUAAGGACAAAAUAAAAGGUAAAGUGAAUAGUACAGGAUUUGACUUUUUAGUGUAAAAAUAUGGUUUUUCGUUAAAGUGAAUAAUACUGGAUGCUUUUCGUUAAAGUUCCCUAAAAUUUAUCGUUUGACCAAAAAACAAGAUUUUAAAAGACUUGUAGCCACUUUAAUCAUUAAGCAUUCGUUAAACUUAAAACGAAGGUAAAUCGUUGGCGCCAAAGUAAAUAUUCAAACCCCAUUUCCCGCCAAGUAUUUAUUUAUUUUUUUGGAUUGUAGUCUUUAUAUAAUUCCACCAUGUCGAUGCUCACUCCUUCGCUGUAAGUCACGGAAACCGCUGCUUUUCUUCACUCUUCCGCCGCCGUUUCUCGAUCACUCCGGUUCGCUCUGAGAUAAAACCCGUAAGGUUCGAGUUCGAAAUUCCCACAUUUUAUGCCUUUUAAUUCAAUUUUUUGUUAGUUUCUUUUGUCUAGUUUGUAAUUUUUGUUUUGUAAUUAAUGUUUGUUCCUCGCUUGUAGACUUUGCAAUGGCGACGAAGAAUGACGAUGCCUCCUCCUCAGCAGACUCUCCGGAUCCGGUUCUUGAGGACGAGGUUUGCUUUCACUUCUGUGUUCUGUCUAAUCUAACGGCGUUUGUUUCUGCUUCGUUUCUCCGUCGCUCAGUUUUGGUUCGUAGGAUAGUAUCAAUGUGGAAGAAUUUGGGUGAACAUGUGAAAUUUCUGAGUUUUUGUUUCGCCGUUAGACAUUGAUAUUUUGAUGCGCACCGCGUGCUCGAUCUAUUGUUUCAGCGAAGAUGUGAUGUCAUAGAUUUGUGGUUUAUGUUGGAUUCGAUAAAUUGUCUGAAUUGUUUCAAUCUAAUAGCGGUGGUGUUUUACAUUUCGAACUUUCUAGCAGCACAGAGGAAUUGUUGACGAAAAGAGAGUUUGCGAUAUGAAAAGAAAAGCUUCCGUAAACUACUAUGAUGUAAGAGAUUUCGUGCUUCCCUUGCUUAAACUUUAUAUCUUAUUCAAUCGGGUUGGGUUUGUAGAUCGUAGUUAUACAUGGAUAUUCUUGUAUCAUUGUAAAGUUAGAUUAAAUUGGUAUCGUUGUGAUUAUUAUUAUGGAGGUUUUUAGUGGUCUGAUUGCUCUUAUCUCUUGUGCUAAGUGGCCUAUUGAGAAAAAGGGUUCCAAGGCGGUAAAGAAGAAACGAAGCACUUCCAACAAUGAAUGUGCAAAAUUUUCGCAACUAAUGGUUCUCCAAGGCGUAAUGCAGCUCGAGAUGACCAACAGGAGAUAUGAGGCUAACAGGUUAAGAGAUGAGAUUGACACGUUAAGAUUUGAGGUUGAAUUGUUGAGAGCUGAGGUUGACACGUUAAGAGAUGAGGCAACUCUAAGAGAAACGAGUACAAGACAAGCAACCGGUAAACUAUGUCCAUAGUUACAAACCAUGUGUACCCUAAUCCAAAAGUUUUUGAGGCAGGAAAAGAGGAACGUUAUGAUGAGAAGAACGCGUGAGAGGAAAGACGGAACUAGCAACAUGGAUUGUUUCAAUGAGCAGGUGAUCAUUGAUUAGGUUGUAUCAAUAGACCUGCCCUUUUAUUUUCAACCUACUUUUAAGUGCUAAUGGUUCUAAAUCAUUGUAAUGAACUGUGUAAGUUGUAGACUGUUAUGGUACUUUUCCGAUGUAGGGUUUUGGCCAUUCAUAUUCAUGUUUUGUAUUGAGCCACACAACCCCAAACGAUAUCAUCUGUAACCUAUGUACUCCGGUAUCAUAACAGAAAAUGUCACGAAGAAAAAAUCACGUUGUGUUGCAGCUGUUUUUUUUUGGUAUUAGUUGCAACCACUGCUGCAUUUACUGGUCAGCAAUCAUGUAGUGAGAAAGCUAAUUGCAGUCCUUGGGAGAUUAUCCAUCGUCAUCUACGUUCUAGCCUUGACAAUUUUCCGGCUGGGUUGGGUGCGGGACAUUUGUGGCUGUUCGAUUUUACUUACAAUCUCCAAGAUUCAGUCACGACUUGUAAUGCGCAAAUAUUAGAAACUGAUCGGAACAAUUGAUUGUUUAAAAGUCCAGUACAAGAAUAACACGCAACCUUUGCCGGAAAAUUAAUGGAAAAAUAUACAAACAUAUAUGAAAAGUAGAUUGAAGUGUGGAUGUAGUUAUCUUGGGUUGAGAAACUCCACGGCAAUAAUCGUAUUGCACAACAUAUCCUUAAGAUGGGACACAGAAAUUUUCAAAUCCCAUGUACUCUCGAUUCUCCAUCUUCUCAACCAUGUUUGCUAUGCCCACCCCGCCUGAAAUAUACAUCAAAACAAAGUUACGCGUUGUUGAGAGGAUGUGCUAUAGGGCAGUAUUAAUAAGUAUACGCGUGUUAUAAUUCGUUACCUAAGCUGAUUGCGCUGACAAAGAUUGUCAAAGCUAGAAUGAAGAUGAUGAUGGAUGCUCUGCCAAGGACUGCAAUGAUCUUUCUCACUACAUGCUGACCAGUAAAUGCAGCAAUUGUUGCAACCACCACGAAAUAAGCAGCUGCAGCACAGACACAGAGUAAACGUGAAACAAUUAGUUUUGUUUUCCGGGUUUAUCUGGAGUUAGAUUAUUGCUUGCUUACCAUAGGGGACUGGGAAACGGUUGAGAAGGUAGUACUGUACAACUGACAUGGAGGAUGAGAAUAGCAUUGCAAAGGUGGAUGUAGCACUUGCUACCUGCAAAUGAAAACGAUAUAAAAAUUCAUCUGUCUGGUUUCAUUUUUCUGCUUAUUUCAGUUGCAGCAGAUAAUUUCAGUUCGCGACAUUUUCUGUUAUGAUACCCGAUUAUGUAGGUUACAGAUGAAAUGCAGCUCAACACAAGCAGUGGAUGUGAAUGACCAAAAUCCCAUAUUGAAGAAGUAAGACAACAAUCUACGAGUUAUAAGUACGUGGUUCCCUACUUGCAUUGAACUAUACCUGAGGAGGAAUUCCCAAUUCAAGAAAAAGGGGUCCCAAGAUGAAACCGCCUCCCAAGCCAAGUAGUCCACCGACCAUACCAGCUACAAUUCCACAGCUGCAGUAGAGAAAAAUCUGAUGCAACUUCCAGUUUGUGAUUUCCUUUCCUUUUGAUGCAAUCACUCUGGUGCCUUUGCGUAAGCAUAUGGCUUCGAAGAGCGUUACAGAAAGUGCAAUUGGUACCUAUGUAUGCAAUGAUAAAACUAUUAUGUUUGUGCUAGCCGAUCAUUAUUGGGGAAAAUAUGAGUAUUAAAGUUCAUAUUUCAUGUUCUCGAGUUCUUAGGAGAAUUCUCAUACUUACUACUCAAGUUUUUAUCGUUACCUGCAAUGAGUUCAUGAUCCAGAACGUGGUGGAGCAAGUUUCGGUAUAUGUCUGCAUAAAGAUUCAGAAGGUUUCAUUCAGUAACAAAAGUAAAAAACCAUUGUGCUUUCGGAAUGAAGGCAGAGGAAUUAAAAAUAUGAAACUUGUAGCUGAAGAAAUCCAAGGUCUACUAGCUAUUGACUAGAUUGGUAGUAAAACUAACCUUAACAAUCUGGACAAUAAGAAAAGCCACCCAGACAUACAUGAGCAACGAUAACUCUUUCCAGUAAAUGUUUCGCGUUAUUGGUACCUGGAUAGAAUUGUUCAUAAAUUCAACACAACAGAAACUUACAAAACUUGAAAAAUUGCAGAUAACCAAGAAUCCAAGAGUACUGCGCAAGAGGUCUAAUGAUAUGAUUGGGAGUGGGGACUCACCUCCUCAUCUUGUGAUGAAGCUGGACCGCUAGGUAGCGGUUUGUAGUCUUCCCCAGAACCCUCUGCAACUAAGGAGGUUAGUUAGACCAUUGUUCUCAAACAUCUACAGACAUAUAGAUAUUGAAUAAGUGUUUACUAUUAUUAAUUUUCUUUUGAGUCCUCAUUUGGAUGUUUGGAUGAGACGAAUGAGCACUCACCAUCCUGUUUGGUCUCCGACUCUAACAUAUUUUCCGCUUCCUGAAAGUCAGUAAAACAUCAGAUUCCUCGUUAGUAGGUUGGAAAGAACACACUCAUUGAUAGCUCUAGAAUAGCUAAGUGGAAAGGGAAGUGAUUUUCGUACACCCUUUUUCUCCUUCUCCGCCUCUCUUUAUUUCUGUCCGUUGAUGACCUUUGAUUUAUUCAAUACACAAAGACCAAGAAAACUGGGAAGGUGCUAAAAGGGAGAAAAGGGUUAUGUGCGGAAAUCAUUUCCCGUGAAUACAUAUCUUACCUUCUUCAUCAUUGUUUCCUUCUUCCAUGUUUCCACGCCUUUCAUCAAAGCUUUUGCUGCUGUACCUGCCACAACUCGGAAGAAUAUCUAUUAAGACUUUUGGGAAUGCAUAGAUAUAUCGAAAAACUUUGGUCUGCUUUUCUUUUCGCAGAGUUCGUAUUCCAUUUGAUCAAAUAACUAUUCAAAAGAAAACAAAACUGAUAGAAAUUCGUGUUUGGAAUGUUACUACAGACCUAAGAAGAGGAUGAUAAGUAGAACUGUGACCAUCCAAUCAGCAAACACGACGUUGAAGGCAACUCCGAUGCUGAUCCCUAGCAUGAGCAUGGGCUGAAAGAGCAACGCCAGAUCAUAAUCUAUGAGGGGCAUGUCCAAUGUUGGGUGCCUAAGCCUCAAAUUAAAGUAUACUGUUGAUCCUGCAGCUCCCAUAAUCAUACCUGUAUCACCAAAAGAAUGCCAAACAGUUGAUUAAUUUCGAUCUAAAUUUAAUCCCAAACAGUAAAUUCCAGAUUAAAACUUUAGACUAACAAGUUAAAGGAAAGAUUGAGAGGUGAUUACUGACACUUGGAAAUCGCGGUGGAAGACUUGGGGUCGAAGCCAACAAUCAAGGCGAGCAUCGGAACAAAAAUUCCUCCACCACCAACACCGCCAACACUACCCAAUGCAGCACCAAAGAAUCCAACUACCGAACCUACUACAAUUUUCCAACCAAACUUCAUCUCCUGCUCAACCAAAAUAUACACAUACAUGUCAAAAAUUCAAAAAGUACCACAAUAGCUGAAAACCAUAUCUGUCUUGCUGUAUCUUUCGGUGUGUAAAGAGAGAUUGAACAACUCACAGGCCAAACAGGCUGAUAAGAAGAGCCUCCAGCCUGCCAUAGAAAAUUAAUGACUCUAGCAAAAAUUGCUUCUUGCUCAACAAAAAUUUUCGGCUUGAUGAUCUCAUCUUUCAGAGGCCUUUCUGCACUGGCAACUUCAGUGAAUACUGCCCAUGCUAUUGCUAAUGCUGCUGCUCCUGCUGACAUUUUUACUGCCCUCUGAGUGAACAUGUUUCGAGCCAUUCGGGUAUAAGAAAGAUGAAAAUUUGAUAACAAGGCAAGGAAGUUAUGAAUCUCAGAAGCUAUUUUCUGUAUGUAUAUUUCUCCGGUUGAAUUUAUUUUUUCAACUCCUCUUAAUUUCUUGUGUUUUUCAAGUGCAGUGUAGGGGUGGAGGAAAACAUGAAGAAUGCCUGCUCCCUACAUUUAUAACUCUUCUCUCUAUUUAUUUGCAUGUCGAAUUUACGCUCCCAUUUGGGACCCACAAAUCAUACAUACAUACAUAUAUGCAUGCAUACAAACAUACAUAAUAUAUAUAUAUAUAUAUAUAUAUGAGAAUUUGAUUUGAGUGUAUCAGCACACUGUCACAUGGUGUUACUAAUUCACGUGUUAUAAUAUAACUGGACUAAAAAUUUGACAUGAAAUAGUUAAAAGUAAGGUAUUAUUAAAUAAAUUCACAUGUUAUAAUAUGAGUUGAUUGAUAAUAUCGCGUACUAUUGUUUUUGGAUUCUCAAUCAUUCCAACUUGAAAUUGAUGAAAGUGAAAGCAGAGUGGAGAAAACACCAAAUGCACUCUCUAAACUUUGGUAAAAAACUUUCACAUUUUUGUGUCUUUAAUUAUUUUAUCAAGGAUUCAAGAAAAUAAUAAAAUGACAAUAAUCCCUUCAUUUCCUUUCGUAAGUGAGAAUGACUAGUUCUCGGUAAAUUUAGUGAACAGGUCCCAAAUUCUAAAUCCCGUGUUUUCUUGUCCACAAUCCAUCAUCUUUCUGAUUUGAAGCUUCGUUGAAGUUAAGUAACAUGAUAUGAUAAUGACAAGUGGGUUCAUCCCUCGUUUAUGGGACUACAAUGAUCGACCAACUGACGUGACACGUUACAAGAAUUCUUUAUUUUACUAACCAUAAAUAAAUGAGGUUCCGGUUAUGUUCUCCCAUAUAUUGGUUUGAAUUUAAAAAAGUUGGGACUAAUAAGAAAUGUAAAUAAAUGACAUCACAAAUAAAAGCAUAAUCAUUGUUACUUGUUUUCUAAUCAAGUUGCUCUGUCGAAAUUUUUGUUAUUUUUACCGCAAAACAAGAAUAUCGGGUUCCGAGAAAUUUCCGAGAAGCGGCUUCCGAGUAAUUUCCGAGAAGCGGUUUCUUUGAAGCAGCUGCGGCUGCACGAACAAGCGUUAGGCGAGGCGGUGGUGCUCUAGCGUCUAGUCUGUCUAUAUGAAGCUUCAUCGCUGCUUCAUGGCUUUUGGCUGCUUCUUUGCUCUUUAUAAUCACCCCACUACCACUUCCAAACAAAGUAAAUAACGUUUAACCCUACCUUCCAAAUGAGAACGAAAACUAAUCACGCGAUGGAUUAAAAUGCAUAUUAGUGUGUGAGUAGUUUGGAAGCCAACCUGAAGGAGAGGGACUUAUAUGGCACGAGCACUAUCCACUAAUCACAAUCUCAUGAAAAAAAAUAUAAAAACACAUGACAAUACGUAAUUAACUCACAAUGCCACAAUCCCCGUUUCUUCACGAAAACAAAAAGUAACAGUAACAGGGAAAACAUAUUUAAUCGAUGCAACUAUUGUGGGUGGGCAACGAGAAAUUUUGCCUAAAAGAAAACCAAUUCGGCAUACAGUUUGGACCUCAUACCAUUCCAGCCCAAAAUUAACAGGAUUUUCAAGAGAAAUAAAAUGUCACAGGAAACAAUUAAUUCUCACAAAUUUGAUAAGAGGUGAAAAAUCUCUACCUAUUUCCACCAGCACAAACGUUCAAACAUUAAAACCACCCAACAACACACACAAUAUUUCCAAAACUUAAAGACAUCUUCAUCGCAAAACAUUUAAACACGGUCUCUAAAUUAGACGAAAGAACGAGAAAAAUAAUAUAGCAAUAAGAUCCACACCACAGAAAGUAGCUGCUGCAUAAGACGCAAUCUCGAGCACUGAUCAAACCAAGUAGAGUGAAUAUCUCACCAGUGAGGUCCGGAGGCUUGAGAGGUUUCGAAUUUCAGUCUUAAUACUCAUUGUAGUCUCGAGAUAGUGAUCUAGAUGACCUCUGAUAAUCUCGCUCGACAUCUCCACCCCUCUCCCUUUCACGGGGAUCAGCUGGUGCUUGUUCAUAAUGGUAAUCAUCCUCUUCCAUUCGAUCAUAGCGAUCAUGAGCAUUGUCCGGAUACUGUUUGUAGCGAUCAUCAUCAUGCUGGACUUCCAAUUGAUCAUACUGGCUACGAUGAUGCUCAUAGGGCUCAGCAUCAUCAUCUGGCUCUGAGUGCCUAUGGCCAUGCCCAGGUUGUUCAAACCAACCCUGGUCGUCUUCUUGGGCAGUGUGGUCAUAACCCCGCUCCCGAUCCCCAUGUCGGACCCUCUCAUGUUUUGAUUCAAUACGGUCAUGGGAACGGCCACGAUCAUGCUCAGGCUCCCCAACUUCAUAAUCCCUCUCCCUGUCUCUAGAGCGAUGAUCACGAUCACGCUCCCGAUCACGGUCUCUAUCUCGAUCACGACCAUGCUCAUAGUCACGACCACGAUCCCGUCCUCGUUCACGAGUACGAUCCCGAUCACGACCACCACGAUCUCUUUCCCUAUCCCUGUCCUUGUCCCUGUUUCUAUCACGAUCUCUGUGGUGCCUAUCUUCCCUGUGAUCACGGUCUCUAGACUUGUCAUGGGAGCGUUCACGAGAGCGCUCGCGGGACUUCUCCCGUUCUCUUUCCUUUUCUUUCUCUUUUCCUCUUUCACGGGAUUUUUCUCUAUCCCUGAAAAUCAUUUCACUCAACAUCAAUCAUAUAGAAAGCAAAAUCUGAAAUUGCAUCAAUCUAUGAAAACUUAGGCAACACUUACAAAGCAUAACAUAUGACAGAACAAAAACUUCAAGACUAUUGUUGCAAAACUUAUGCCUCUCACGAUUACCUAUCAUUAUAGUAUACAAGUAAAAAGCAAUCCAUAACCAUUAUGCAGCACCGCAAUUUCUUCUUUUUGUUUUUUAUAAUUAGAAUCAAGUUGUAUUAUUUUUUAAAAUUUUGUGUUGAGUUUCACUACGCCUAAAACCUUUAGACAGUGUGCACAACAAUUUGGAAAAUCUUACAAGUCUACAUGUCGCUCCUCGCGUGCCCUUGGCUCCUCAGACCGGGGUUGUCCUCCAGAUUGUACUUGCUCCCUAAGCAAAUAAUGAUGAAUGUUAUAGUUAGCAAAGACGCCUAGAAAAUUAUAUGAGAAAACAAACUUAAACAACUGAACACAUAGAACUUGGAAGUCAACAAAGAAACAGUAAAACAGUUUAAUAUUAUGCUGAAUUACAUAAUAGGAAGACAAAGAAACUGCUCCUGAGAUACACUUAAAAGAUAAAUUCUUGUAACAAAGUAAGUGUAGAAGCACGUCAGUUUUCCAAUGACAGAAGUGUGGAAAUGUUGGAAUCGAACUAAAUACCUUCCAGAAUAUCUCUGAUUGACAUCUUCACCUCCAACUCUGGUAGUUCCAAGCCCAC